rnacentral:lncRNA from 1 species
UUUUUUUUUUUUUAUCUGUCACAUGCUCACAUGCUUUGCUUGGCAGGGAAUUCAAUAACAAAAUUUAAAAACUUACUGUUUUUUUAUUUAGACAAAAUUGCAAAAAUGGUCCCUGUGGUAUGCAAAAUUUUGGGGUUUUAGUCCAAACCCCGAGUUUUUUGGAUUCAUGGUCCUUUUGGAGUGGUUUGUAUGUGAAAAUAGUCCCUCCGAAAAUUGAAAUGACUAUAAUACCCUUGAGUAUUUAUUUUUCAUUUUUCUUUCAUUUUUAAAAUUUAAUAUUUAUUUAUUUUAACAAUUAAAAAUUAAUAAAAGACAGCGACGACUCGUGGGGCCCCCUAACGCCGAACAAAAAAAAAGGUCUCUCUCUCUCUCUCUCUCUCUCUCUCUCUCUCUCUCUCUCUCUCAUAGUCAAAAGAAGACUUUGAUCCUAGCUCAGAAGGAACGCUAGCUAUAUGCUUAACACAUGCAAGUCGAACGUUGUUUUCGGGGAGCUGGGCAGAAGGAAAAGAGGCUCCUAGCUAAAGGUAGCUUGUUUCGCACAGGAGGUGAGAAGAGUUGAGAACAAAGUGGCAAACGGGUGCGUAACGCGUGGGAAUCUGCCGAACAGUUCGGGCCAAAUCCUGAAGAAAGCUAAAAAGCGCUGUUUGAUGAGCCUGCGUAGUAUUAGGUAGUAUUAGGUAGUUGGUCAGGUAAAGGCUGACCACGCCAAUGAUGCUUAGCUGGUCUUUUCGAACGAAGAUCUUCGAUGUCUUUACCUUAAAAAAGCUGAGGCUCUCUCUCUCUCUCUCUCCAAAAAUAAAAAACCCACCAUUCCAUUUCAUGACUGAGUUCAUGUUCGUGAUUUCCAGGAAACCCAUCAUUCCAAAAAUCAAAAACCAAAACCCAAUUUCAAAGGGAUAUACAUUUCUAGAAAUAAAAAAUAAAUAAAUAAAUAAAUAAAUAAAUAAAAAUAAAAUAAAAAAACAGAAAUCAAAUGUGUGUUCUUCAGGAAACCAUUUUUCUGUUUGUUCUUCAACCCAGAAAUCAAAUAUGCAAGUGUUCAUCUCUGAGUUUAUGUUCUUCAUUUUUAAGAAAUCCAUCAUUACAAAAAUCAAAAAUCAAAACCCAAAUUCAAAAAAACAUUUCAUAAAUCGAUCAAAAAACGAAUCCAAAGCUGCAAACACACAUCCAUAGACACAUACACACCCAAAUGUUGUCUUUCUUCUUCUCAGUCACAAACCCAAACACCUCAUCGAGUGUGGCCUGUUCGAAUUGAGAGCCAAUCUUCUUCUCCAAAAUCGAUUUACAGUCUUCGAUUUUGAUUUCGGGGUCAAAUGAUAAGAAUCAUAGGCUGAAGAAUGGGGCUGAUCGCCAUAGCCACGAAGAGGGUUUUAAGAAAGAUAUGAGAGAUUUGGAGGAAAUCUUAUCGAAAGUAAAUCUUAUGGCUGAAGAAUUUGUGCCCUUUCACUCUUCAAAAACGUUUAUAAUAAGGCUCUACUACAACCAUUAUCUGUUGCUACUCACUUCGGUUAUGCUGCUGUUAAUGAUUCCUACUCCAAAAUAGCCAUACAGCUAUGGUGCAAGAAACCUUAAAGGCAUCAAAACAUUAAAAAGAGAAAAGAGAAACCUAUGGUGAGAAGCUGUUGAAUGAACAGAUGACCAAAACAGAUGAAAUACAGAGCUUCAAUGGAGCCCUAAUCACAACCAAUAAAUUUGCCGAUAGGAAGCCAAAUCUUUUUUCUCUCACUUCAAAUCCACUGCCUCUGUCCCUCGUUCUUCUUUAAAUCGCGACUAUAUAUGUGGGGAUUCUACUCUUCAGCUUCCAGAGUGUGUUUUGUGGUUUUAAUUUUUAUGUGUGUUUAUUUGCUGGGGAAGAAGAAGCAGGGUGAAGAGAGAGAGAGAGAGAGAGAGAGAGAUGUGGGCCCCAAAUUAGUUAAUUAUUUUAUUUUUCAUUUAAAUUAAAUAGAAAAGACAUUAAAAAAUAUAUGAGAAGGGCAUAAUAGUCUUUUCAGUUUACAGAGGGACCAAAAACACAAAGAAACUAGCUCAAAAGGACCACUAAUCCAAAAAAGUCGUGGUUUGGACUAAAACCCUAAAAAAAUGUAUACCACAGGGACCAUUUUUGCAAUUUUGUCUUUUAUUUAUAUCUAUAUACUUUUUGGGUACUGUAGAUAUACAUAAUUAAACUUUACAUUAUAAUUUAUUUNAGAGAGAGAGAGAGAGAGAGAGAGGAUACUUUGGUCUUUUAAUAAUAAAAUAAAAUAAAAUAGAUCUGAAUUACUGCUAAGCCCCCCACAGCUGCACAUAUUCUAGAAGGGGUAAUUCAGUAAAAGAGAAGUAAUGAGAUUGUUUUUCUGAUGAGGGCAAAUCUGGUAUUUACGUCUUUGUUGAUGUGUCCAGAUACACUAUUAGUAGUGGGUGGGUAUCUGUUCUGGGAGAGACUAACCUUUUAUAUGUGGUAGAGAUUUUUAUCAAAUUGUGUUUGAGUUUUUGGUGAAUUAAGUAAUACAGAUUUUUGAGUUGUUUGAUUAACUAUUUUAUCAAUUGUUUGUGUGAGACUCACUAGAGCUUAGCAGUUACUUUAGGAAUGGUGAAAUCCAUGAAACAUUAAAUUGUUUAGCAAGAAAACAUGCAUUUUGAAAGGAUUAAAAUAAAUCCGCAAACAAAGGGUUUAGGAAAAAACAAAACAGUAGCAAUGGUAUACCUCUAAUAUUAGUGAAGUAGUUAGUGUACAAGGGGUAAAUUGGGAAAUUAAAGAAAUAUUUAAUUUAGAGAGAAGGAUACCUGAGGAGCCCAUGGUUGGUGGGGGUGGGAGAACCCUGGUCGAUCAUGCAUAAAUGGAGGGGGAGGACGAUCAUCAAAGCGGUUGAAAGAGGAGGAGUACCUUCCCAUUCCCAUGUAUGAUGAUGGAAAGGGUGGAUUUGGAGGAUGAUUCAUGGAGGGAAAUGCAUCCCGAAAGUAAUGAUUCCGCAAGGCUGUGGUUAUUUGAAAAAGGGCCUCCUGAACUGCAUCAAACUCACCAUUUAUCUGGCUCAAAAAAAAUAGAUAGUUAGUGUGUCAUGUCGUCAUCAUUUCUCAAAUCUAUACAGCACUCAAUAGAGAUAGAGAUAGAGAUAGAGAGAGAAAAAUAACAAUAGCAAACCUGAACUACUUCUUCAUUUUCAGCAGCAUACUGUGGAGUUUGAUCCUUUCCUAAAAUACGAAUAAAAGCCCCAGUUGAGUUUCUCAUUUCAGAUAUAACUGCACCACCCUUUCCAAGGAUACAUCCAAUCUGAUGUGCAGACACUAUGACUUUUGCUGUCACUGCCUUUGUCUCAGGUGCAGCCCUAAAUAUCCUUGUCUGUACACGAAGAACUGCAUCUUGGGGAGCACAUAUGCGCUCAUCUGGGACCUACAAUACAAUAAUACAUCACUAGUAAGUAGGGUUACUUUUACACUUUACUUCCAUUUCUUCAAUGUAAGUUGAUAUAUAUAUAUAUAUAUAUANNNNNNNNNNNNNNNNNNNNNNNNNNNNNNNUAUAUAUAUAUAUACAUACAAAACAAUAUUCAUUGCUGUAGUAUAACAGAUUGAAAUUUGCAGAGUAGAAUGGUAUAAUUAGGGUACCGCUGGUCCAGAUAUGACAAUGAUGCGGUCAUCUGACCCAACACUUCUCUCAAGGACUUUAAUGUCACAUCCAGUCUCAUGCUUAAGUGCCUUCACGGUAGCCCCUCCUUUUCCAAUUACACCUCCCACCUUCUCAUCAGGGCAUAUCAAACGGUAGGUUAGCAUGUCUGUGAAAGGACCAAAACGCCCUCCCUCACGAUGCCCUGCUCGUCCAUUUGGAUGAUGAUGUGGAUGUGGAUGUGGAUGUGGAUGUGGGUCUUGCUCACAAAUAUUAUUGCUAUUGUUCACAAUCACAUUGUUGGCAGGCAAAGAACCACUCUUGUCCCGAUGUGAAGCUGGAUGAUCCAGAAGCUGCUGUGAAACAGAUUCAAGCGCUUUCCUAACUGCACUCACUUCUCCAGAAAUCUGUUUGUUAUUUAACAAAAAAAAACUUUGUGAGUUUGAUGGGUUAUAUAAUAAAUCUUGAUUGAAAAAUAAGAGCUUACCUGAACCAAUUCGUCACAAGAAGAUGCACAUGCAGGAAGUUUAUCCCUAGGAAGAAUCCUUAUUUCGGCCCCGCUUUCAGAAGCCAUUUGCUUGAUUACACCACCAGAUUUUCCCAAAAGACAGCCCACUUGAGUAGAAACUACAAGUAGCCUCACAACAAAUGUUUCUUCAUUCAUCUCUGCUUCUCCUUCCACCAUUCUUUCAAACACACAUAACAGACCCUUCUGCACACAAGAAGCCAUAUCUUCCUCAUGUUCUUCUGCAUCAUCAGCUUCCUUCUUCUGAUCAUUUGAGAUUCCAUCAGAUCCUUCAAUCACAAUUACUCUGUCAUUGCAGCCAGGGAUCGUUUCCUCAACCCUGACAUUUGCACCACGUAUCUUGUUGCCUUCUUUUCCGAUUACACUUUCAGUUUUAGAAGCAGGACAAACCACCCGAAAAACAAUAAAUGAUGUAUUUUGGGAAGUAGUAUCAGUUGACUUCUGCAACUUCCCUUUUCCAUUGGCUUCUGAGGCCUCACCCUCAUCAAGGCCCCUCUUUGAAGGCGUUAAUUGAGAUGACAUAUCAAACCCUAGUACCAAAUCAAAAGAAAUUUUAAAAUUAUUGUUGUUGAUUGAAAAUUAAAAAUUCUUGUCAAUAUUUCAGAAAUGUAAGCUGCUAGAAUCAAUUAAGAUUCAUAAUUCACCAGAUAUAAACAACUGUUGAUUACAACCAGGGAGUAAUAUUAAAAUUAAUGAUAAGUCCAUAUCUUCAAUUCCUAAUACAAUGUAUCACACUACUAACUGUCACAAGAUUAUUGUUUAACAUGAGUUCAGUUUGGUGUUUCCAUUGGCAUCCAAGAAAAAAAACCUAACUAUAAAAUUCCAGCCGAAAACAAAAAAUGAUCUUUCAAUUCUAUACUAUAUGUAUAUAUAGUGUGUAUACAGACAGUCCUCAAUAAACCAUAUAAACAGUACACAAAUUGUGGGUUCAAAUAAUUCCUGAUGUUGAAAAAUACACUUACACACACAUAUGCUAGUGUAAACAAUAAACAGAUUGCGAAAAGGAUUUGACCUAGGUUUUAAGGAUACCUUUCUCGACGAAGACGACGAAGGAUGAUGGAGAGAAUGAUAGCGCACUCGUCAGGUGCUUCCAAAGAGUUAUCUACGUGCCAGAAGAGUGAUUUAAGCGGUGGGCAAUAAGGUGGCUGUUUGGUGGUGGCGUCGCAACUCUGGACACGGUGAGUCACGAGGGAGGCAAGCUUUCAGUCUCGAUGAAUAAAAGAUAACCAUACGGGUCACGUGCAUCUGGCAACUAAAAUGGGGGUAAAUUACACCCGUCCAUCCUCUAUAAAUGCCAAAAAAAAAACAUGUUUAGUCUUUAUUUUAAAAAAUUACGCUUCAUCCCUGAAAGCCAAUUUUGUUGCGAAUUUAGACAUUGUCAAGUUUGAAAUGACCAAAAUACCCUUGUAUUUUUAUUUUUCAAUUAAUUUAAUGCUUUUAUUAUAUGUUUCAAUUAAAAAUUAAAAAAUAAAUAAUAAACGCCUCUUUACUUUCCCUAACCAUCCACAAUCGCAGAAAAUACACACACAUAUCGAAUCGAUGAGAGGGAAAACGGAGACCUUUAACUCAUUGGUCAGUCACCGGCUACCAUCAUCGCUUCCACUUCUCUAACAAACCUUCCACACUGCUUUCACUGUAUUACUAAUCGAGAAAAUAAGAAAAAAACACACAAGUUGUAGAUCGGUGGUUGUGGUCUGAGUUUUUUGGGAGGAGAUCGGUGGUGGAUUAACAUCUUAUUGAUGAUCGGAAAAGAGAGCGGGAUAAGGAGGAAGCAUGGGUGUGUUUGUCAAUAGGGGAGGACCAGUGGGAUUUCGAUCGCUAGGACAUUUCCAUUGCCAGAAACCUCUGACAACUGUCUGCACAGUUGCAUGUAUUGUGGCGGUGAAGAAGAUGAUGUUCAUUCCUCUUGGUCGCCAGCAUACCUCCAUCAUUCCUUUCAAUCAUCGUCUCCAAAGUUUUGAUGUAUGUCGAAGUUCAACAAUCUAGGGCAUUAAUCGAGGAAUUUCAUGACAGAUUUUGGUUGCUUCAUUACGAAUUUAGGUUUGGGGAUUUCAUCUCGAAAUGAUGUUGAUUAUCGAUUUUGGUUUGUUUGGGUUUCGGAUUUCAUAAAAUUAAGAUGAUUUCAUUUGGGUUUGAGUUUGAUGGUUUUUUGGUAUGAUUUCAUACUGCUUGGUGAUCUUGGUGAAGGUAAUGUAAGAAGCUUGAUGAUCUUGGUGAAAGGAUUGUAAGAAAAAGGUAGACGAAGGAGUUGGGAAAUGGGAGAGGGAAUGAUGGGGAUGAAUUAUUUUAUUUAUUUAUUUAUUUUAAUUUAAAACUAAUAAAUAAAUAAAAGAAAAUGAUAAAACAAAUUAUUAGGAGUAAAAUAGUCAUUUCAUGUUAAUAGGGACUAAGCGUGCAAGAAAAAACAAACUCAGGGACGGUCCGAGUUAAUUUUUGAAAAUAGGGACUAAACACGAUUUCUGGUAUAUUCACGAGGGAUGAAUGGUGUAAUUUACCCUAACUAAAAGUUACAUAUUGGUUCCUCAAUUUUCACAAAACUAUAGGAUUUGGGCGGUUAGGGAGAACGGAGUAAUGGAGCGGGCAAAUCGUGGGUUAAGGCGGUACCUCUGGGUUGUGAUUUUUUUGACCAGCAUGUCGCGAACCGAGUUUCUAGAAAAUUCCACGAUUAUCUAGAGAACCCUGAAACGAUCAAGUAUCCUCGAAAAGUCACUAGAAAGAUCAAGAAUACUCUAUGAGACCCCGGAAAACGCUAGAAAAUUAUAGGUGUCCGCGGAACAUGGUGGAACGACCCAGAAUAAUCAAGAAAGCACUAGAGGAAGCUAGAACGAUACGGAAGAUCUUAGACCAUCGUAGAAUCCUCUAGGACACAAAAGAGUAGUAUGGAAGCUUAUAGAAUUUUGUAUGUAGAAUAAAAUUUUGUAAGAAUGAUAUAGAAUACUCGGAAAUGUUCGAAACCUAGAAACUUCCCUUGAGGAGGUGUAAGGUUCCUAUAAAUAGGGAGAAGGGCUUAUUUGCCCAAACCACCGAGAUGUUGCCUUGUAAAGAAGUUGAGUUAUAUAAUAGAAGUUUCCCUUCGUACUUGAAGUGCUCCUUGUCGUGACUCUUGCUUCCUAUGUUCGUUAGUACAUCUAGAUCAUCGAAGUUAGCAUGACUUAGUCGGAGAAGCACUAAGUGGCACACGGUAUUGACAAGUCUAAAAGAGUCAUCCCGUGACAUGUGGUAUCAAGCCAGGUUCAAGCAAGAAAGAGACCAUAAACAAUGGAAGGAUGUCACACCCCAAAACCAAGAACGGCGGAAACGUUCUGGGGCGGAGGACGUCAUGUAAAGUAUCACAACAAUGUAAAGUAGUAAAUAAGCAACAACAUCAUCCAUUGCAUUAAUAGUAUAAUUUUAAAUACAAGUGUGUUCAUUUAUAUUAUAAAACAACAUGAUGAACAAUCAAAAUAAAAGACGAGUCUUGACUGCUCCGUCUUCACAAAACCUGAUCGUCGUACCUGACUAUUUGUGACAUGAGAAUACAAGUUAUUUUGAAAGCAAGUAUCAGCAUAAAGCUGGUGAAUUCAUAAGUAUUUUAAUGUAUUUGAUUUGUAAAAACUGUAAGGAAAAGACUUGUAAAUGUUUGAAGAAAAGUUUGUAUAAGUAUGAAAACCCUAGAAAAUCCCAUAUUUCCUACUAGUAUAAUAUGUAGUCUUCUACCAAGACUCGACUGUUUUGAAAGUAGUCUUCUACCAAGACCUGACUGUUUUGAAAGUAGUUUUAUGAAACUUAAAUGUGACUUUUCAUAUAACUUGAGGACAAGUUACAAAAACACAUUUUAGAAUCAACUUUUAGAUUAAAAUGGAUUGAAAACACAUAAUCAAUUAACUUUUCUAUUAAUCUAAGAAACUUAUAAGAACAAGAUGAUUCAAAUCAAACUUUUUCAUGUAAUUAGUCUAAAACUUAAACUAAUACAAAACAUGAAUCUAUUGACAAUUAUCUUUGAAAUUGGAUUAACAUGAACAUUACCACAUCAAAAACAAGUUUAUAAGUCCAAAAACAUCUUAGGGUAAUGUUCCUAGUCCAAUUCCAGCCAAAACAAUCGAAUAUAUGUUGUUUGGGGGUCCAACUCGUCGAGUGCACGAACCAACUCGGCGAUUUGGAUGCUUUUUGCCUUGGACUCGGCGAGUCUGCUGAGCAUACAGCAUCAAAAUUCGAUUUUUAAGCCAAUUUUGCAAGUAUAACAAGAAAACAAGCCUAGGCUCUGAUACCACUGUUGGGUUUUGAGCAUUCUAACACUCCUAAGUGUACAUGCAACCCUAAAUACCUUGGAUCUAUGUUUUCUCUAUUAUACAUGCAAAUAUGAACUUCCCAAGGUAUUCAUCCUAACUAGCAUAAUAACAUUGAUUCAUAUGAAUAUAUCAAGUUAGAAUUACAUACCUCUUUGAUGUAGAAUGUCUUCAUGAAGCUUGAGUGCCUAGUGCCCCAAGUGUGACACCUCAAAUGGUUCACACAACACCAAAUACACUUGGAAUAGAUUAGAGAGAAAACCACACUUCAUAAAAAUCGGCUAGCCCUUUCACAUAUAAUCUAGUGGCCGAUUUUUGUCGCCAAUAAGAUCUUUAUAUAGUGUCAUAAUUAGGGUAAACCCUAAUUGUCAUGGCUUUCCAUUUCCUUGGAUCCAUGGGUUAAAAUAUACCAUGGAGCAUCUUAUGGGUUUUAGCCCAACUUGACAAUCCAUGAAGCAUUAGCCCACUAUACAAGUAUGGAUGAUUUACACAAUUAACUCAUAUAUUUAAUUAGUCUUCUUUUGAUCACUUAAUUAAUCCUAGAUUAAUUCUUCAUCAAUACUAAUUAAAUAAUAUUAUUAAUAUAUUAGAACUUAUAAUAUAUUAAUAAACCUUAAGUGUUAUUUCUCUCAUUUUAGUCUAUCCAAAUGCAUGAUGCCAUGCAACCCAAAUGGACCAUGCCGGGUCGAGUCAAGUCUUACCAACAUUAGUUAUGGACUUAGAAAUUAAUCCAACAAUAACUAGCAUGAUUCAACUUGUAUUCACCCCCUUAAAUAACAUUUAAAAACAUUUAAAAGGUCAAUUAAGGGGUAUGAACUCACCUGCAAUGAGUGGAUCGUAUGGAAGUGUCGGACAAGAGCUAGGUGUCAAGUGAAGACUUGAACACACACAAUGAUCCUAAUAACAUAUAAAGACAUAUAUAUAUAUGUAUACAAUUAGUGAAUAAAACACUAAUUAUACAAGUAUAAACACCCUAAUGUGUGGAAAACACUUUGGUCAAAGUGUUAGGAGGCCAUUGGGUUGCAACAAAGGAGUAUAAGGCAUUAUAUUUGAGUUUAUGGCCCAUGGACCAUAAUUAAUGGAGUUUACGGCCCAGGGGAGUUUACUCCUAGCCGUAAACUCUCUAAAGGGUCUCAAUUUGAGGCUUAAAGGUGUGAUAUUUUAAGUGGUUAAGUGUUCCAAGGCUAAACAAGAGGCUAGGUGAGUUUAAGGUCCAAGAAUUGACCUCAACUUGAGUUUACGGCCUGGGGACCACUUCCCCAUGAGUUUAUGGCCGUAAACUCAUGGUAUGAAGUACCAUUUCGAUGUUUGAGGUCCCUAGCUCAAUGGUGGUUGAUUCUAGGCUAAGUUUUGAGCAUAAGGAAGGACAAGAGGGCAUCAUUGCACCCUUAAAGGGAGUUUACGGCCUUGGGAGAUCCUUGGCCGUAAACUCUCAUUCAACCCUCUAUUCUUGAUGUUUCUAAGGCCUAAACAUGUUAAACCUAGUACAUAACAAGUUAUAACAAGAGUACUUACGAUCUAGGAGCUUGAAUGGUCGGUUUUGGCCAAGAACACUAGUGUGUGUUCUUGGUGAAACUUGAAGAUCUACACAAAUGGAAUGAUUUCACGGAUGAAAUCAUGUAAGAUCACUAGAUCAAGUAAGAUAUCAACUCAUUAGGACGAGAAACUUACUAUUUUUGAAGAUCAGGAAUGAAGAUCGAGAUGAUAGUUGGGGGGAUUUGGGAGGAAAUCAGCCAAGGAAAAGAAAAGAAUGAACAAAUGGCCAACAUUUCAUCAUAUAAGGGGGAUUUUACGGCCCACAUGGAGUUUACGGCCAUAAACUCCCUUGUUGUGGCCGUGAACUCCUGAUCAAGGUGUUAUAGGCCUGAUCUUUGUGCUAUAGCUUCAGCAGAUAAACCCCAACACUUAUCCCUUAAGUGUACAAGGCUCAUAACACUCAAAUAAGCUCCUAAUUGUGCUAAAAGAUAGCAGAAAUGAGUUUGACUUUCAAUGAAGGGUUAGACUGAACAAGAUAGAAAAUUCCGGGUUGUCACAAAGGAGCAAGUGAAGUAGUAAACAUUCCCCCUCUAGUCAAGGAGAAAGGAAGGAAGUCGAAGAAGAGGGACCAGUCGGUAGACGCCUUGGCAAGCUUACAAAGGUGGAGAUUAACGUUGGUGCACUACAAGAAAAAUACCCUUUAAUGACGCGCAAACAAUGACACUCGCAGAUUUACAAUACGCAUUUUUGUGUGUCCAUAAAANUUUUAAGGAUUUAGGUCGCGCAUUACUGAGUGCCCUUAAAUUAGUGUCUCAUGUAAAAAUAUUAAAAACACGGAGGGCACCUAUAAUAAAAAGGGCGUCCUCUACAAAUGUCGCUUUAUAAUUUUAAUAAACACGCGUUUCUGGGACUCAGGGGGGAAACUAAAUCCCCCAAAAUUUUGAACACCCGCUUCCUCUUCCUCUCUACUCUCUACACCCGCCAAAUCAACUUCAUUCUCUCCCUUCUUUCUCUCUGCAAACCCCUUCUUCUCCGAUCGACUUUCACUUCCUUCUAACCGCGACCACCACCAUCGAACCCCAUCAUCUCUAAGAGUUCAGAGUGCAUCUGAUGAAAUCGACAGUUGGAUCGACUCCGUAAUCGGCGACGACUACCGCUACUUCUUUCACUCGUACUCCGCCCGCCACCACCUUCUCUUUUUGGUUGUUGGCAUCCAUAAAAGCAACAACAUGCUUGUCAUCGCCGGAUUUAUUCUUUGCUCUACCCGGUUUCCCCUCGCAUCACACAUUUUCUUUCUCCUGACCUUACUUGUUAAUCAUCUCAUCAGAUCUCUGCUCUAGUGUCACUCUAAGAUCAAGAAAUUUCAAGCCCUAGUCUCCCUCUGAGACAGAGACAAAAAGAGAAGAAACAUGAAGAUGCUCGCACGCCUUUUUCUGGUCAUCCUUCUACCUAGUUGUUGUUUCUUUCAUCGGUCCUUCCGAUUGGUCUUCUUCUUCAUCACCAUCUACUGAACGACUCAUUGAUUUUGGCGAUUACGGCUUCGAAUUCAGUUCCAUCCAAUUCUCCAACAGAUUUCUCAUCUGUUCUCCAUAAAUCCCCCUUUGCCACCAUUACAUCUGCAGCCACACUGCGAAUGCUGAAGUUAGAGUGAUUCCCGAUGUUCAGGUGAGAUUAUUUCCAUUUACCUAUAUAAAUCUCGAUUGUGCUCUCUUUUCUCCUCUCUCAUCCCAACAUCGCCAUAUCAAUAUUGAAUUGAAAUCUUCUACAAUUUCUUUUAGGGCUUUCUCUGUCUUGUAUCUCUCUUAAUCCUCUGGAACAGAGCUAUCAAAAUUCGGGAUCUCCAAGUUUCAAUCAUGAAUUUCAUACAAAACUUGGAAGCUUUUGAAGAUUUAGUCGAGUAAUUUCUUGUUAAUCCUUCACCCUCCAUAGAUAGCCAAUGUUGUAAUUUUAGUCGUAUUUCUGCCUGCCUCUUCUUAAAAUCUUGAUAAAGUGAGUUAAAUGGAGAAAAGAAUUGUUAGGGUUUUAGACGAAUCUUUACAAGGCACCCUGAGAUUUUCUAACUUUCAUUGAACUGUAAGACCGUUUAUAGGGAAUCUGAUGCACGCUCUCGAGCAAGAAAAUAGGUAUGAUACUAAACUCAUGCAUUCUUUCUCAUUUUACCUUUUAUAAAUAUGUGAUGAGAAAAUGUUGUAUUGUUUAACAGGCUUACACAUAUGAGUUGGAGAACAAAAUCUCAUGAUUGGAAGAAGAAAAUGAUAGAAUCAGGAGGCAGAAGGUAUGUAUAUCUGUUUCUCAUAAUCGUUUCUCUCUUUUUCGUGUUAUCCAGUCUCUUCCUUACAGGAAAUGUCUUAAUGGGAAUGUUACUUAUAUGUAGUGUUACUGUGAUAAGAUCUGGAACAAAUGAUGGAAAACCUUCUGGUGUGGUAAAAAUUGUGGAUUUUGGCGAAGUUAUUGAAGAUAAGAAGAAUAAUGUGGUGGAACCCGUAAAAGGUAUUGUUGUUGUUAUUUAUUAACCAUGAAUAACAUUUAUUUGAUUAUAUAAUUUAUUGUUACAUUUUCUUUAUAGGUAAAAAGAAAAAAACUGUGAAGUAAGAACAAACGGAAAGAAAGAAGCUGAUUCCGAUUCUUCAAGUUCAUCUGCUGGUGGUAACAGGAGGAAGAAGAGAUCAACAAAGAAAGAAGUCAAACAGCGUAAGAACAAACGGAAAGAAAAGAGACGGUUGUCUGGCAAAAGAUCAAAAAGAAGGUCCAAAUAGUUGCUUUUGAUAUAUAUAUAUAUAUAUAUAUAUAUAUAUNNNNNNNNNNNNNNNNNNNNNNNNNNNNNNNNNNNNNNNNNNNNNNNNNNNNNNNNNNNNNNNNNNNNNNNNNNNNNNNNNNNNNNNNNNNNNNNNNNNNNNNNNNNNNNNNNNNNNNNNNNNNNNNNNNNNNNNNNNNNNNNNNNNNNNNNNNNNNNNNNNNNNNNNNNNNNNNNNNNNNNNNNNNNNNNNNNNNNNNNNNNNNNNNNNNNNNNNNNNNNNNNNNNNNNNNNNNNNNNNNNNNNNNNNNNNNNNNNNNNNNNNNNNNNNNNNNNNNNNNNNNNNNNNNNNNNNNNNNNNNNNNNNNNNNNNNNNNNNNNNNNNNNNNNNNNNNNNNNNNNNNNNNNNNNNNNNNNNNNNNNNNNNNNNNNNNNNNNNNNNNNNNNNNNNNNNNNNNNNNNNNNNNNNNNNNNNNNNNNNNNNNNNNNNNNNNNNNNNNNNNNNNNNNNNNNNNNNNNNNNNNNNNNNNNNNNNNNNNNNNNNNNNNNNNNNNNNNNNNNNNNNNNNNNNNNNNNNNNNNNNNNNNNNNNNNNNNNNNNNNNNNNNNNNNNNNNNNNNNNNNNNNNNNNNNNNNNNNNNNNNNNNNNNNNNNNNNNNNNNNNNNNNNNNNNNNNNNNNNNNNNNNNNNNNNNNNNNNNNNNNNNNNNNNNNNNNNNNNNNNNNNNNNNNNNNNNNNNNNNNNNNNNNNNNNNNNNNNNNNNNNNNNNNNNNNNNNNNNNNNNNNNNNNNNNNNNNNNNNNNNNNNNNNNNNNNNNNNNNNNNNNNNNNNNNNNNNNNNNNNNNNNNNNNNNNNNNNNNNNNNNNNNNNNNNNNNNNNNNNNNNNNNNNNNNNNNNNNNNNNNNNNNNNNNNNNNNNNNNNNNNNNNNNNNNNNNNNNNNNNNNNNNNNNNNNNNNNNNNNNNNNNNNNNNNNNNNNNNNNNNNNNNNNNNNNNNNNNNNNNNNNNNNNNNNNNNNNNNNNNNNNNNNNNNNNNNNNNNNNNNNNNNNNNNNNNNNNNNNNNNNNNNNNNNNNNNNNNNNNNNNNNNNNNNNNNNNNNNNNNNNNNNNNNNNNNNNNNNNNNNNNNNNNNNNNNNNNNNNNNNNNNNNNNNNNNNNNNNNNNNNNNNNNNNNNNNNNNNNNNNNNNNNNNNNNNNNNNNNNNNNNNNNNNNNNNNNNNNNNNNNNNNNNNNNNNNNNNNNNNNNNNNNNNNNNNNNNNNNNNNNNNNNNNNNNNNNNNNNNNNNNNNNNNNNNNNNNNNNNNNNNNNNNNNNNNNNNNNNNNNNNNNNNNNNNNNNNNNNNNNNNNNNNNNNNNNNNNNNNNNNNNNNNNNNNNNNNNNNNNNNNNNNNNNNNNNNNNNNNNNNNNNNNNNNNNNNNNNNNNNNNNNNNNNNNNNNNNNNNNNNNNNNNNNNNNNNNNNNNNNNNNNNNNNNNNNNNNNNNNNNNNNNNNNNNNNNNNNNNNNNNNNNNNNNNNNNNNNNNNNNNNNNNNNNNNNNNNNNNNNNNNNNNNNNNNNNNNNNNNNNNNNNNNNNNNNNNNNNNNNNNNNNNNNNNNNNNNNNNNNNNNNNNNNNNNNNNNNNNNNNNNNNNNNNNNNNNNNNNNNNNNNNNNNNNNNNNNNNNNNNNNNNNNNNNNNNNNNNNNNNNNNNNNNNNNNNNNNNNNNNNNNNNNNNNNNNNNNNNNNNNNNNNNNNNNNNNNNNNNNNNNNNNNNNNNNNNUAUAUAUAUAUAUAUAUAUAUAUAUAUAAAUGUAUAAAAUCAAGAUUCACUUUCCACUCGGACAAAAAUACUCUUCCGGAUUGUUCCGAAUUAUUAUGACCAUUUUGCCCUCAUAGGAAUUUUGACAUUAACAUACAUGCGCACAUUUUUUUAGUGUAGAUUUUGUCGAAGAGAAAUGACAACAAAGAAGAUAAGUGUCUCUUGUUGUUUGUAUAUAUACACUUUUUCUUCUUGUUUAAUAACUUAAAAACUAUAUAAAUGUGAAAAUUGAAGGUUCACACACUGUUAAAAGGAUUGGAAAAGAUAAUUGCAAGUGCAGAUAUUCCAAUGUUCGUCUGUGGUGACUUCAAUUCAGUUCCAAGAAGGUAUGUGUCAUUUCUGCUACAUUUGUUAUGUGUGUUGUGUGGCCAACAAACAUCUGUUUUCAUUACUUUGGUGUAUGUAAUUAUUGAUCCACAGUAAGUCCAUGGAUUUAUUGUGUUUUUGGAUUGUCCUAUAGGUAGCAUCUCAGCUUCUGAUUAAUUUGGUGUACUAUUUUGGCAGGUUGAUCUCUAGGGCCUGCUAGAAGGAUUGGAUAUUGCAGUUAAGCAUCUAUCUAAGACUUCACAGCAAGGACUUGAUGAAUAUAAGUUAGCAAUGUUUUACUUGAUUUGGACAUGAAUAAGACUCAAGCAAAAGCAAGACUCAUACUUUGGCAUGGCUAGAAGCUUUGGAGGAAAUAAAACUCAAGCAAAAGCAAACACACAAAGAGUUGUUAGCACAUAGUAAGCUAGAUAAUGCGAUUGUAUAUAAAUUCUACUUCUGUUGAGUUCAUUUCUUUUAUUACAAUUACUCAAUAUUGGAAUAAUUAUUUGUAUUUGACAUAUUAGUGAAAUGAAUUAUCUUUGUUACUUUUGGUAUUUUAUCUUGUAUUAUGAGAUUUUUAAUGUAUUAUUUAAUUUGAAAAUUAGUUAAUCAAUAAUAUAAUAUUUUUUUAAAAACAUUUAAAAUUAUGAUACGCAAAAAUGUGUGUCAUCUUCAUUUAUGACAUGGCCUUUCUUGACAGGGGCUUUCUUGAUACGCAUUGCGUGUCAUUAACACGCGCGUCGUAAGGUUACGACACGCGAAUGCAUGUCGUCUUCCUUUAUGACAGGGCCUUCCUUGAUACGCAUUGCGUGUCAUUAACACGCGCGUCGUAAGGUUACGACACGCGAAUGCAUGUCGUCUUCCUUUAUGACAGGGCCUUCCUUGACACGCAUUUGCGCGUCGUCUGAGCCUUUUACGACGCGCAAUGAGCGUCGUAAAAGGCUGUUUUUCUAGUAGUGGUGAGAUCCUUGAGUGGAAGGAUAUCAUCAAGCAGUUUAUGGGAGAUACGAAUGAUACUAGUGAUGGAAUGAAGGAAUCCAUCAGUGUCAUAAAGGAAGAAGUACUUGGACUAAUCAACACCUUACGUAAUGAGUUUCGUGAGAAGAUAGCCGCGUUAGGAGUUGAAGUAAAAUUGUGCAAGGUAGCAAUAGCCGGAGGAGUCAUGGAGAAAACGUUGCCACGCACGGAAACACCUAAACCAUUGAUGUAUGGAGGUAAACGCGACCCUAAAGAACUUGAUGAUUUCUUUUGGUCGAUGGAAUGCUAAUUCAAUGCUAGUCAAGUGAAGGACGACUAGACAAAGGUAGAUACGAACAUUCUUUAUCUAUGCAAGAGUGCAGCUUUAUGGUGGAGAAGGAAGCAUGGAGACAUUGAAAAAGGCUUAUACAACAUAGAAACAUGGUAAGAAUUCAAGAGGCAACUUAAGAGACAAUUUUGCCCACAUAAUGCUAAAGACAUAGCGAUGAAGAAGCUUCGUGGGUUAAAGCAUGUUGGAUCCAUCCGGGACUACAUAGUCGAGUUCACGAUCUUGAUGCUGGAGUUACCCGACAUUUAGGAGAAAGACAAGCUUUUCUAUUUCUUGGAUGGACUACAAUCUUGGGCCUACAAUGAGCUCAAGAGGAUAAAUAUCAGAGGCAUCGACGCAGUUAUUGUCGUAGCAAAAGAUCUAAUGGAGUUUCGGAGAGAAACCACAACUAAGAGAAAUAGUAGAGGAGAACAAUCUACANGAGGGGUGGGGGGGGGAGAGCAAUCUACAUCUGAACGCAACCAAAAUAAGACAUACCCCAACCUUCAAAUACGAAAGUAAAGGAAAUCAAAGGAAGAUAUCGAAAAGAAGAAUGGAAGGGGAUCAAGUGUUACCUUUGUGAUGGUCCUCACUUGAUCCGAGAUUGUUUGAAAAAGAAGACCUUUUUAUGCAAUGGUGUUGCAAGAAGAAGAAGAAGAAGAAGAUAAAGAAGCUCACAUGAGUUCCAUGCGACUUAUAAACUCUAUGUCAAAAGACGAGACGAAGGAAUUGAAAGGGAGUGGUUCUAAGAUAGGAAGUCUCAUGCUAGUUGAAGCCAAGGUAAAUGGAAGAAAUACUAAGCCGCUAAUAGAUUCAGGUGCGACUCAUAAUUUCCUUUAUGAAAAUGAAGCUAAGAGAUUGGGGAUUAGCUACACGAAAGAAGAAGGGCGAUUGAAGGUUGUCAAUUUUCCAUCCAAUCCUAUCCUAGGAGUUUCACAGGGAGUACCCAUGAAAAUCACGGAAUGGGAAGGCAACAUUGACCUAGUAAUCGUACCGAUGGACGACUAUAGCAUGAUAUUAGGAAUGGAAUUCCUAAAUGGAGUACGUCCAUGGUCAUUUGAAAGUGAUAACACCAUGCAUAUUACUAAUGGUACAAUCAUUCACAAUGUACCAAUAGAAAGGAGUAGAACAAGGUCUCGAAUGCAGGGGCAGAACACAAAUGCUAUAAGAGGAGGGGCCGAAACUAAAACAUCAUAAAAUUCAUAUAAUUCUUUAGUUGGUUAAUAAAUAACAAAUAAAUUAUUUUGACCUUAGUAAAAUGAUUUACAAAAAAGUUAACUAUACUUACUAACAAACAAUAAUAAGGGAUGAUGAAUAUGUUAGACUUCUUCAGAAUUCUAUAAUAUUCAAUAUAGUUCAAUAUAUAUGGAAUAAAAUAAGAUUGAUAUUCUUCAUUAUUCAGUAUAGGUCUAUAUAUAUAUAAUAAUAAUAAAAUAAGAUUGAUGUUUUAGUUAGAAUUAAUAAGUUACUACAAUAACAAGUAAUUUUUUUUUUCCUCGAUAAGACAAAUAAACAAGCAAAUAUUAAAUAUUUAAAAGUUGGCAGGAGACGUUUUAUCUUUUCAGAAUUCACAGUCUUCUUUUUCUUAUCACUAGUGAUAGAAAAUAAAGAAAUAGAUAAAAAGAAUUACCGGUGAGAGAAAGAGUGCACACACAACUUCAAAGAGGAGAUUGAGAGAAUGCACGGAGGUUGCAUGGAGGUCGCCGGUCAAAGAUGGUGAGCAGCACGGAAAAGGAUGGACCACAUAUAGAGAUACUGCACGGAGGUGAGUAGCAGGGGCGAAGAACAGAGAGAGCGUGCACGGAGGUCACUAGUUCAGUGAACAAAGGCGGUGAGCAGUUAGUCGUCUAAGGCAUCCACCGGUGAGAUCUGAAGGUUCUUUUUCCAGUGUGAGAGAUACUUUUCAGAGUUUUUUUAUUUCUACAAGAUUACAUGAAUAAAUUGUACAUUAGAUUUUUAUAGAACUCAAUAUCCUAUAUUUUUACUUGGAUUGCUCUUGAUUCUUUCCAUAAUUCUUGGAUUUUUGCUAGUUAUUGAUUUAGUUCCUAAUUUAUCUGAUUUUCUUAGAUGUAUUUUAUGCACCCCAGGGGCCAUGAGAUUGGUUUUCUAAUUUUUGGAUUUAAUUACAUGUAUACAACUUGUAUAGUGACAUUAGUAAGGCAAAAAGCGGGGUGGCCAUGGCCCCUCCUGGCCCUAUACAGGAUCCGCCACUGCUCGAAUGCUAUCAUCCAUGAAAUUUAACAAAGACCUUAAGGAAGUUGGGAAGAUAUAGGAAAAAUACCCUAAGUUGGAAGAAGGAAGAUAAUUAACAAGCGACUAGUGAUCGAACUAGGAAGUAUGUGAAAGCAAACAACAUAGUUCAAGGUGUCAACACAUAUCGGUGCAGGAUGGAGUCACGAUCAACCGUAAGGAUUGCUCAGAAAUGUCAUGAGGCUACGAGAAGACCCACAACAGGCGAGGAAUCAAGAACAUAAGUAACACAUACUAAAAGACUUGACGAGGACGUCAAGGGUUUAAGUGGGGGAGGGUGUCACGGACCGAGUUUUUGGAAAAUUCCACGUUCAUCUAGAGAACUCUGAAACGAUCAAGUAUCCUCGAGAAGUCUCCGGAAAGAUCAAGAAUACUCUACGAGAACCCCAAAGAUGCUAGAAAAUUAUAUGUGUUCACGGAACAUGGUGGAACGAUCCGAAAUAAUCAAGAGAGCACUAUAGGAAGCUAGAACGAUACGGAAGAUCCUAGACCAUCGUAGAAUCCUAUAGGAUACAAAAGAGUAGUAUAGAACCUUAUAGAAUUUUAUAUGUAGAAUAAGAUCUUGUAAGAAUGAUCUAGAAUACUCGGGAAUGUCCGGAACCUAGAAAAUUUCCUUGAGGAGGUGUAAGGUUCCUAUAAAUGGGGAGAAGGGCUUAUUUGCCCAAACCACUGAGAUGUUGCCUUGUAAAGAAGUAGAGUUAUAUAAUAGAAGCUUUCCUUCGUACUUGAAGUGUUCCUUGUCGUGACUCUUGCUUCUUAAGUUCGUUAGUACAUCUAGAUCACUGAAGUUAGCCUGACUUAGUCAGAAAAGCACUAAGUGGCACGUGGUAUUGACUAGUCUAAAAGAGUCAUCUCGUGUGACAUCCCUAAUUUCACGGCCAGAAAAGACCGAUUUGUUUAUGCUUUGUUUUUAAAAUCAGAGUAAUCUUUCAAAGAAAACAGUUGCGGAAUUUGUUCCCAAAACAAAAUAUGAUAAGAAUCUAUCAAAGCAUUCCUUUAAAGAAAUGUAUUUUCAUUAUAUAACAAAAUCUCGGGAUGUCAUGUUCCGAUACAGACACAUAGGCAUAAACAGAACUUACAUUUAUUUACACUAAUGAUUUACAUCUCUUUUAAUCUCUCAGUGAAAUAUGUCUUCGUAUUGAUACCUGUGAUACAAAGAAAACUGAGUGGGUCAGGCUUGGGAGCCUGGUGAGCAUAUAGGGUUUUCGACCCACAAUAAUAUAAUUAUUAUAUUCAACCAUCAAACAAUCAACCCAAUUACCUAUCCCCAUUAUCUUCUUUAUUUCUUAGGAUUUUACCCUAAGAAUUCAACUACCCGUCAUCCAUUCAUUCCUAAGGAAAUGGCACAAAAUCUAUUGCUACAUAAGGUGCAUCUACCAACAUCAUCCUUUAAGCGCCUCUGCCAGGAUUACAUCAUACACUAUGAGGCGCGACUGUCAGGUUUAUGACAUUCUCUUUUAGGCGCAUCUGCUGACAUUAUCCUAUAAGCGCAUCUGCCAGGAUUAUCCUAUAAGCGCAUCUGCUAGUAUUAUGACAAUCUCUAUUUGGCGUAUCCGCCGACAUUAUCCUAUAAGCGCAUCUGCCAGGAUUACAACAUUCACUACUUGGUGCAUCUACCGAUAUUAUUCUUAAGCGCAUCUGCUAGUUUUAUGACAUUAUCUAAUUGGUGCAUCUGCCAAUAUCAUUCUUAAUCAUCUUUCAUACCUCCUCAUUUUAUCACAUACCAACUAUCUCAUCUACCCAUGUUCUACCCAACAUAUUUGUAGAUAUAAAAUACAUAUACAGUUUAACUCAUUUAAAAACUAUAUAAAACGUCCAUUCCACACUCAUCUCAAAUAAACAACAGUACAUAAACACAUAACACGUAAUUCAUAGCAAAUACUUCAUAUCUAUAUGGUAGAAGAAAGUAACUAUACACUCACACAUAUAAAUAACAAUAUACUUAAUACAUUCAAACAAUACUUGUAUUAUUAUAGUGUUUAUGAAAGGGACUAUACACCCACACAUAUAAACAACUUUAUAUUAUACACAUAGCACGUAUUUCAUAGCAAAUACUUAAUAUUUAUGUGUUAGAAGAAAGUGACCACACACUCACUUAAUCAGAAGAUGAUCGGACAGCACUACGACUUGUAGAAGUAGUAUUCUUCGGUAGAUCUGGAAGAUCUUCACAAAAUUUAGCUUCUCACGGGCAGAACUUCGGCUCGGAAACUUUACUUCUCGGGAUCUUCGAGGAUUCGGGACUUGCUUCGGGUCUCGGGGUUGAUAACGGGGCUUCGGGGGGAUUUCUUUGCACGUAAAUCGAUGCAAUACAGGUGAGAGAUGAGAGAAUGAGCAACCAAACUCAGCUGGCCCUUCAAAUCUAUUUAUAGGGCAAAUUUUGCCCUUGCCACAUCAUGGAACCUUUUCCACGUCGUGGGCCUGGUCGUCACUGCAUGCGUCAUCGCAAGUUGCGUCUGGGGGACUCCAGGAGGUGUCAAAAGACUUGCCACGUCGUGGUAUCUAAUAGUUUUGGGGUUUCGCGCCCUGAACUUCAGAAAUUCAUAACUUUUGCAUACGAACUUCGUUUUCGACGUUCUUUAUAUCNUGUAGGUGAGAUUAUGCUCUACAACUCUCGUUUAGACUCCGUUGGCUAAUUUUGACUUUAUUUUUAAUAUAUUAUAAAUAUAUUACUUAUAUAUUAUUUUUAGUAGGCCGGGACAGGAAAACUUCGUUCGAAAUUCAUAACUCCUUCAUCUGAACUCCGUUUUCGUUUGUCUUUUUGUAGUUGGACUAAUAUCGACGAGAUCUUCGACUCUCGUUUAGAUUGUUUUGGCUAAAAAACCGCUCGAUCUCAAAUCGAGUAUUCGGGCUGCAUACCGCUAAGUCGAAACUUCGAAAAAUCAUACCUUCCUCAUACGAAGUCAGAUUUGGGCGUUCUUUUUAUGUACACUCUCAGUUUAACGAACUCUAUGACCUUCGUUUAGAUCACCAAGGAUAAAUAUCAUUCUAACGUAAAUUCACUUUUUACGUCAUUCAGCUUCAUGCCGGUUCUGUCGCGAAACUUCGGCAGGGCAUAACUUCUUUGUUAUAACUCGGAUUUCGGCGUUCUUUAUAUCUCCGGAAUCAUUGUCACGACCACUACAACUUAGUUAAGAUUAUCCACCAUAAAUAAUCUUCUACCAAAAAGUCAUUUUUGACGCUUAUCGUCUCUAAAUUGACUAACCCGGAUCUACGAGCGUUACAUCCCAUGACACGGAUCUAGUAGGUUUGAGGAGGGUUGAUACACCUGUGAAUUUGUGUUCAAUCCAUGCAUGUGAAGAGACAAUAUUUGUUUAUUCAUUUUUGUUUUCAUGCAUCUCAUGAAGAACAAAACUGCAUUUUUAUUUUAUUUUUUAUUUAUUUUGUUUUUUUUUAUAUAAUUGUGUAUAUAUGUAUCAACAUAUCUCACUUCACUCAAUUCUAUAUAAAUUUCUCUAAAAAACUUCCCAAUUUAGCUACCUUCGAUGUAUUCCUAAGCCAAAAGCUAAAAAGGUCAAUUUUAGCCAAAAAUAUAAAUCCACGCAAGGUGGUUCAAGUCAAGAUAUUUCAUUUUCUUCUCCAAAACUAUCAAUAAAACCAAACUAUUAAACUAUCAACAAAACCAAACUAUCCACAACAUAAUUUCAUGGUGCAACAAUCUUACAACAUAUAUAGUUUUUUUUAGAGGAAAACUCGGGUUAUAAUCCAUGUAUGCAGUUUUCUCAAAAGGGUUCCAGAAACUCAAUUUCAGUCUUCUCAUCCCAAGAAUUUUCAGUUUCGUGAUGCGCAUAACGUAGAAUCUGACAAUUCUAGUGACGACCCGGUUGCUGAAAGAAAUGAAGAAGUCAAUGAACAAGCCAACGAGGAGUUGCAACCUGUUUUUGAGAAAAAAAACACAACUAUACAAAGCACCAAAAAUCAAAGAAAUUAGUGGUACGUGAAGAGUUGGUUUUGAUUAGGGCAUAUGUCGAUGUUUAUGAAGAUAAAACGCAGAAAUCAACAAAGGUCGAUGCAUUUUUGGAGCGGAUUCUAGAGAAUUUUAAUGUUCAACUAGGAGGUUUGGAUCGAUCACAACACCAAGUAAACUCUAAAUGGAAAAACUUUCACAGGAAAUGUAAUGAGUUCAAAUGCAUCUAUAACCGUAGGAUGAACAGUCUGGUUAACGGGAGAUAUGAGGCUGAUGUUUUAAAAGAUACAUAAAGCAAUUAUCGGAGGACUAGUAAUCAUAAAUCUUUUCCUUAUGAGAAAGCUUGGGAGUCGUUGAAAGACCAGGAGAAAUAGGUGUUGUUAAAAAAGUCGGUGAAGACUCCUCACCUCAUUUUUCAAAACGAACCAAAACAUCUUCAUCUAACGCCUACAAAACAUCUUCCAAUGCACACUAUCCUCCCAGAUUCCUCUAAUAACAAUAAUCGUUUAAUGUUGAAAACUCACCACCUCAGAGAAAAAGAAAAGGAACGAAAGUGGCAUUGACAUUGUCAACACAUAAUGAAAUAUUUAAUAUCGUCAACGAAAUUAUCGGCAUCAACACUACAACCAGAACAGAUGUGGAACAGAUCUGACUAAAAUAAGGUCCCUAAAGUCAUAAAGUUGAUAACUUUGACCCUUUGCAUGUUUAAGGAGGACUGGAACUUCAUUUCACCUCUUUCCAACUUGAUUACUCAUGCAUGGGACAUAAAUGAUGAUCAAGCAACCAUUUUUAUUCAUCUACACACCGUAAAAUGCAAGAAGGGACAACCCAAACUCUCUGGAAGGCCAUAAAAUCGAAGAGUUCCAAACUUGGGGACUAAAACUCAUGAACCUUGCACCAAAAGAGAUCUAAGAGAGUAAAAACCAUGGUGCAAACUUUAUACCUGGAAAUGAUGCACAAAAGUGAAUGUUUUCUAAUCUCAAAGCUGACUAACGCCUUCUUCGUCUUCCUUUAGCUUCCUUCUUCUACUACAAGGCCAAAUAACCACUCAAAAUAGCAAAAACACACUCACAAGCACAUACUUCGGGAUUUAAGGUUUUGGAGGGAUUGGAGGUUGCUAAAGGUGGCCAGAAAGGAGGCCAUCAUAUUCUUUAUAUAGGGACACAAGAGGUUUAGGGUUUUGCAAUAUGUGACUAGUACGCCCAACGUACCUCUUGGUACGCCCAACUUACUAGGAGGAUCCCGUGUUUUGCAUGGCGCAUGAGUACGCACAACGUACUCAUGCGUACGCCCUUUGUACUGGCUGUCAUCUUUCUCUUUUAAGGGACUAAAAUUGACAAUGGUAGAAAAAUAGGGAAGGAAUAUUCAUACCUUUCAUUGGGGUGUUACAAUUCUCCCCCACUAGUAUCAGGCUUCGCCCUCGAAGUCAUCUACUAGAAACAACUCCUGGUAUUGCUCGCGCAUCUUAGACUCCGGCUCCCAAGUACACUCCGAACCUCUACAAUGCUGCCACUGAACCUUAACCAAACGCACCCCCUUGUUCCUCAAUGUAUUUACUUUCCUAUCCAAUAUCGCUACCGACCCUCAAUGUAGUUCAGACGACUGUCAACCUGAAUAUCCUCUAAAGGACCUACUGUCGUCUCGUUGGCUACACAUUUCCUCAGCUGGGAUACAUGGAAAGUGUCAUGAGUUUGGCUCAAUUCCUCAGGUAGAUCUAACCAAUAAGCUACAUUGCCCACCCAAGCAAUCACUCUGAAAGGGUCAAUGAAUCUAGGGCCCAGCUUGCCCCGCUUCCUGAAUCGGAUCACCCCUUUCCAUGGGGAUACCUUCAGAAGAACAAGGUCGCCGACCUGGAACUCUAGCUCGAAAAUCCUUCUAUCUACAUAACUCUUAUGACGACUAUGGGUCGUCAACAACCUCCGUCUGAAGAGGCCUUUAGAUCAAUCGAAAUAUCAAACAAUGACUACAAAUAAGAACAAGAGAAAUUCACGAAGAAAAACUUUCACUAAGAAACAUAAUCUCACAAAGAGAUUAUCGUGUGCACAAAGCGACGAUUAGGGUUUGUGAAAGGCGUAACCAUUCACAAACCUGUACAAGAUAAUAUAUACUGCUAUUCUAGACAAUCCCUACAAUUCAGGGAUACGCUAGCUAAUAAAUCAAGAUAACUAAGGAAACAGGAUAAAUACAAGAUUUGUUACAACGCACUGAAUAAACUAAACUAUUACAAACUGAGCUGCUGAUACGCUGGUGCUGACGCUGAGUCUGUUUUAAACAUUAUCAUAUUUCAAGGUUUGACCUUACAAUCUCCCCCAAUAUGAUGAUGUUCAAAACAAACUAAAUUAAAACACCCUUGAAAGGAAUUCUUCAUACUUAGCUUCAGCUUCAAUUUUAACUGGCCAGUAAGGACUGUCCAGCAACUCCUGUCUUCUGUUCAGCAGCUCCAUGGCGAUAAGAAUGUGAAAUUCUCCGGGAAGAUCUUGAUGACUCAUGCACAUUUGCCUUAAGCCAACAAGGUGAGUGGUUGGAGCUUUUGGGAUCUCAGUAGUGCGCUGAAAGCACAUCCUCCUGUUUUUAUCGAGAUAAAACAUUCCGUGUUCAGGAGCUGAGAUGAAUUGAUGCUAAACCGGAGCAACACCAAGGGGAAGAUAAUUGUUAAUCACACCAACACCGAAGUCUAGAACCAACACAUCUUCGCCAUCAACAUGAAACUUGGUCCUUCGAGAUCUAGGAACUGAAGGCCUUUGGCCUGAAUGCUGAGGUCGUUCCUUAGGAACAAGAUCCAGACGCUGAACCUUUUUGAUCCGCAGAUGAAGGGCACAAGUCAGUUCGGAAGAGUGAGCUGAUGUUUGCUUGGAUGCUAGAUCGAGCAGUUCCAUCCAUUCCGAAUACCCAUAUCUGAUCAGCUCAUCUCUUUUGACAACCUCAGUAUAUGAAUGCUGAGGACCUUGACGAGUAAUCAGCAACGAAAGGAUUUUCUCGUUUCGAGGUUUGGAAGCUUUGACCUUGAUGAUCUUGUCACCACACAUUCGCCGAUUGAAAACAUCUUCAAAUCUCUUUCGAUCAAUCCGGUCAAGAACACUGUCAGCCUUAGGCUUACUAGAGCCAGUAGGAGGUUGAGAAGACUGAGCCUUGGACUGAAAUUCCAGGAACUUCUGCAUCUGAGCUUCAAACGAUCCCUUGGCCUGAAGUUUGUGCUGAAUAAGGGAUUCAUCAGCUUGAGCAAUGUUCUUUAGAAGCUGAGCUCGAUUGGCUUCAUCAAGAAUUUGCUUGACUUGAUCAGGGGACAUGUUCCAUUCAGUGGCAAGGUUUGAAAUACUGACAAUGGACUUGGGUUUCUUCACAGACGAAGAAUUAUCAGUUUGAGAAUGAUCCAAGUCAGUAUCUACUGCCUUCCGCUUUCGAGACAACGGAUGAGAUUCUUCACUGGCAACGUCCGAAUCCUCUCCUUGGACCGGAAUGAUGGGAUCAGCAAUAUCAUCAGCUAGUAUCGGAUGAGAUUCUUCAAGGUCAUCUGAGCUUUCUUGCUGAACUGGAAUGAGAGGAUCAAUGAAGUUCAUGUCAAGAAUUUAACAUUCGUCAUCAGGUUCAUCAUGCUCUUCAUCAUGCUCACUAUCUUCAAACAACUUUUCAGUAGCUGCUGGACUAUUAUGCCCUGCAGAAUCAGAUUCACGAACGGGAACUGGAUUGGGAGAUUCAUGCUGAAUGAUAGUAUUGUCAGCAGCAGGUUCAGUGUCUUUUUCAUUUGGUUCACCAUCAGCAUGAUCAUCAGCAUCAGCAUCUUCAUCAGUAUCUCCCCCUUUUUGAGCAUCAUCAAGGUUGGGACUAGCGGGAGGAGUAAGUAGGAGAACCUCCUUGAUUUGUUGAACAUCAGCCUCAAUGCGAAGCAGACGCUGACUCAUGUCCCGAGUCAGUGACAGCAGUUCAGAAAAUGCUGAAGCGGGAAUUUGAACCAUUGAGGUACCUGGGACAAUUGGAGAGCUAGGAGGCAUCCUUAGAGAGAAAUGGUGAGCUGUUGGUGAUGGAUGCUCCCCCUGAGACUGAUGCUCCCCCUGUGAGGGAUGCUCCCCCUGAGAUGGAUGCUCCCCCUGAGGCAUCGAAUCCUGUGGUGCUGAGGAGGCUUUACCAGAGUCCGAGAUGAUGUGAUGAGACAGUUGAGGGGAGAAAUGAUCGCCAUCAAGAUGCUCCACCUCUUGAUCAGCAUGAUCCAUAUGAUUACCAUCAGCACCUCCUUCAUCAGUGUCAGCGGUGAGAGAAGGCACAGUGUAUGGAUUGGCAAUCCAUUCUCUCAUCCGAUCGGAGAUUCCAAUGUCGGUAUCUAAAGGAUCAUCCUGAUACAUACGAACUGACAUUCGAGGACAUUGGAUUGGAUUCCCAGAGUGAGAAAAGUAGUCAGCAGCGAAGAACUUGUCGAAUACCAGGGCAAUCCAGCGUGGAAAGGGAACAUGAUCAGCACGUACAUUUGCACGUAGAAGCUGAACAAGCUGAUCAAAGAAAAGUGCCCCAUAAUCCAGCCUUUUGUUGAGAAGAAGGGAGCAGACAACUUGUUGCUCAUAAUUGCUCAGUUGGUCACCACUACGAGACUUGUGACCCACACACUUGCAUAGAGCUCCAGUGAAAAACUUCCAGCCUGGGGUCAUGCACUGACGCAAAAUAAGAGCUGAUCGAGUACCAGCCUUUGAGUGAUCAUAGCCCAGUUGAUCAAACAUGCGUUUACAUCUUUCAAUAGAUGGAGGUUCAGAGAAGGGUUCGAAAAUUGGUAACCUUAAAGCAGCACUGAGAAGUUCUGCGGUGAUGAAGACGGAGUGUCUUCCAUGGCCAAUGGUUCCGGUGAUGGCGUUGUUUUCUUCAUUAACGGUUGCAGUGUAGUAGAACUCACAUACUUGUUCUGGGAAGAACUCGGAUGGUACAUCGCUGAUUGCAUAUCGAAGGCGACAAGAAGCCAAGAAAUUUACGAAAUCAUCGAGUCCAAGACCUCGAUGAACCUCUGGAAUGUCGGGGUUGAAGACUACAUUGGUGGCCUUGAUGUGAAUGGGAAGAGGAGGAGAGUUUGGGGCAGGAAUGACCCUUCGAGAAGUUGAGGAGUAUGUGAACAGAGAUGCCGCCAUUGGAGAGUAUUUGAGAAUUCUAGGGUUUUUGAGAGAAGUUCAAGGUUUUUGGGAAGGAAAAAUUAAACCAAGGGAGAAAGAGGUUUAAAUAUAGAAUAAAAAAGGGGGUUUUUAAAAGGUAAUGAUUAUCUUCUGAUCUGCUUGAUUAUCGUCAUUAAGGAUAACGGCGCAUCGUAACAACCUGUCAGAGUAGAAUAUAGCCGUUGGAUAAAAGAGCCGUUGACUGAAUGUGAAACGUCAAUCAGUGUUUGCGGAAGCGCUGAGCUCAGUGUCACAAAAGUUACAUGCUGAAGAUAUUUCUCCGUCAAUUCAAGGUACAGCUUGCUUAUUCAGGGCUAGCAAGGAGAUUGGUGCGUGUGAUAGAUACUAGUUACAUUAUCUAACCAUCGGCACAGAGUGUUGUGACUUCAUCAGUGAGUGGUUUAUCUUACUGAAUCAUUAGACACUGAAUAAGAGGAGGGUAAAGAAUGGAUUGUUGCGUGUGAUAAACCUUGGUGUUUUGGUCUAACCAUCGGCAAAGAUUUUUAGAAUCUCAUCAGCGUGUGUUUUUGCACACUGAAUCACAGAAUCAGUGUAAGAUUGGUAAGAAGGGGUAGUUGCGUGUGAUAGAUCUUGGUGUUUUGAUCUAACCAUCGGCAAAGAUUUUAGAUUCUCAUCAGUGUGUGUUUUGGCACACUGAAUCACAGAGUCAGUGUAAGAUUGGUAAGAAGGGGUAGUUGCGUGUGAUAGAUCUUGGUGUUUUGAUCUAACCAUCGGCAAAGAGUUUCAAGUCGUUAUCAGUGUAUGGUUUAAUACAGUGAAUCAUUCAACUUUUAUUUAGAAGAUUUGAGGAAGAGAUAGAGAUAAGAAAUCAAACCAAAGUGCUCAGUAGCAAAUAUCAUCAGUAUGUCAUCAUCAGCACAAUGUACAUCAGCUUAUAAGACAAAAUCAAACAUUAGUACAAUUAAACAUCAAAAUUAAUUACAAGGAAAUCAUUCCCAGCUCUCCAAUAAUGUAAGCAGUUGAUUGAGAAUCCAGUGCCUUUGUGAAGAUAUCAGCAAGUUGCUCCGAAGUCUUGACAUGUUCAAGAACAACUUUUCCUUUUUCAACAUUAUCUCUGAUGAAGUGAUGUCUGAUCUCGAUAUGCUUUGUCUUUGAGUGCUGAACAGGAUUUUGUGUGAUCUGAAUGGCACUGGUGUUGUCACAAUAGAUGGGAGUCUUUGAGAACUUGAACCCAUAGUCGAGAAGCUGAUUUUGAAUCCAUAAGAGCUGAGCACAACAUCUCCCAGCGGCAACAUACUCAGCUUCUGCAGUUGAGAUGGCAACUGAUGUUUGCUUCUUGCUAGACCAGCUGAUGAGACGGUUGCCAAGGAAGUGACAUCCACCAGAUGUACUCUUUUUGUCUAAAUUGCAUCCUGCAUAAUCUGAGUCAGUGUAUCCAUAAAGUUCAAAUGCUGAGUCGCGAGGAUACCACAGUGCAAGGUUUUGAGUUCCCUUUAAGUAUCGAAAAAUACGUUUGACAGCCAUGAGGUGAGAUUCUUUGGGAUUAGCUUGGAAUCGAGCACAGAGAAUGGUUCCAAACAUGAUAUCAGGACGACUUGCUGUGAGAUAUAAGAGGGAUCCAAUCAUUCCUCGAUACAGAGAGUGAUUGACAUCAGUUCCAGUUGGAUCAGCGUGUAGCUUAUCAGUCUUAGAUACUGGGGUAGAGGCUGGUUUGCAGUCACUGAGAGAAUACUUAACAAGCAGGUCAGAAAUAUAUUUACUUUGACAAAUGGAAAUACCUGUCUUUUGUUGCUGAACCUCAAGACCUAAGAAAAAGGUCAUCUUUCCCAUCAUGCUCAUUUCGAACCUUUGAGACAUGAUCUCUGCAAAUUCCUUGCUCAGUGUCUCAUUUGGAGAGCCAAAAAUAAUGUCAUCGACAUAAAUUUGAACAAGAACCAUAUCUGAGCCUUUGUUUUUGAUGAAGAGAGUGUUGUCGAUUGCUCCUCGUCUGUAUCCAUUUUCAAGCAGAUACGAUGUCAGCGUCUCAUACCAAGCCCUGGGAGCUUGCUUCAGUCCAUAAACAGCUUUAUCUAACCGGUACACGUAAUCAGGAUGAUCUUUGUCCACAAAGCCUGGGGGCUGAUUUAGGAACACUUCUUCUUCUAACACACCAUGAAGGAAUGCUGUUUUCACAUCCAUCUGAUAGACAAUGAAGUUCAUGUAGGAUGCGUAUGCGAGAAACAGCCUGAUAGCUUCAAUGCGAGCAACUGGGGCAAAAGUUUCCCCGUAGUCGAUAGAUUCAAUCUGAGUAAACCCUUGAGCUACAAGCCUUGCCUUGUUGCGAGUGAUGAUUCCAUCUUUAUCAACCUUGUUACGAUAGACCCAGCGAGUUCCAGUGAUAGUCUUCCCGGAUGGUCUUGGGACAAGAGUCCAAACUUUGUGCCUUUCAAACUCAUUCAGUUCUUCUUGCAUGGCUUUGAUCCAAUCAGCAUCUUGAAGAGCUGUGUGUACUUUAUCAGGUAAGAUCAUUGAAACAAAGUUAACAUACAUGCAAAAGUUAUUAAGUACACUAGAUCUGGUUCGGACACCAUCAUGAAUAUUCCCUAUAAUUCGAUCAACAGGAUGAUCUCGAUGUUCAAUGACUGAUGCUGAUUCCGGAGAGAUAGACACUGACACAUUAUCAGUUUCAGGAGAGUCUUCAGCUUCAAGGGUUUCAUCAGCAUCUAAUGAGUUAUCUGCUGAUGUGGCUGUAGUAUCUUGACUCAAGGGACAUGGAACUGGAAUGAUAGGAUCAGAAGAAUCGGACUUCUCCUCAGCACAAGGUGAUUCAUCGAAUGGACAAGAGAGAAGCUCUUGAAAGAUAGAAGGAGAAUGAGUGACUUUUUCAUCAGUGUAUGAUUCCUCAUCAAACUUCACAUGAAUGGAUUCUUCAACACAUUGCCUGUUCACAUGAAAAACACGAAAAGCCUUUGAAAUAGAUGAGUACCCAACAAAAAUACCUUUAUCAGCUUUAGGUUCAAACUUGGAUCUUGGGUCACGCUGAUUUAGAAUAUAACAAAUGCAUCCGAACACAUGAAAAAAGGAUACAUCUGGUUUUCGAUCUUUCAGCAUUUCAUAUGGAGUCUUCUUGUGAAUCCUGUGAAUUAGAGAUCGAUUCUGAGUAAAACAUGCUGUAUUGACAGCUUCAGCCCAAAACGACAUAGGAAGACCAGCAUGGAUCAUCAAGGUCCUUCCUGCCUCAAUCAGUGUUCUAUUUCUUCGUUCAGCAACACCAUUUUGCUGAGGAGUGCGAGGAGCUGAGAAGUUUUGUCCAAUUCCUUUAUGAUCACAAAAUUCUUCAAGAGUUGAGUUUCGGAACUCAGUGCCAUGAUCACUUCUUAGUUGCUUAACUUUAAGACCUGUCAGUGUCUCAUUUUUACGAAUCAGUGAGAUGAUUUCCUGUGCAGCAUGACUUUUCUUCUUCAAGAAAACUACCCAUGUAAAUCGAGUGAACUCAUCAACGACCACUAGAGUAUACUUAUUUCCACCUAGAGAACGAACAGGAAUAGGUCCAAACAAGUCCAUGUGGAGUAGAUGAAGAGGGACUGAUAUACUGGAACAUGACUUGGGUUUGAAAGAGGACUUGGUUUGUUUUCCUUGUUCACACGCUGAACACAUCUUGUCUUUCACAACGCUGAAUUUUGGGAGCCCUCUAACUAGGUCUUGAUUGGAUAUCUUAGAUAGAUUCUUGAAGUUCAGAUGAGAAAACCUUUUGUGCCAAAUCCAGCUAAGAUUCGUCUGAGACUUUGUAAAGAAACAAUGCAUCAGUGCCUUGUCACUUGAGAACAUGUCAAGAACAUAUAUAUCAUCUUUUCUACUUGCUGAGAGUACGAUGUUCUUGUCAGUGUUUACAACUCUGCCUUCUUUCUUUGUAAAGUGAACUUCAUAGUCAGCAUCACACAAUUGACUGAUAGAAAUAAGGUUGUGUUUGAGACCCUUAACAUAUGAAACGUUUUGGAAAACCACGUUAUUGCAUUUGAUGUUUCCAUAUCCCUUAGUGAACCCCUUUCCAUUGUCUCCAUAAGUAACUGCAGGACCAGUUUUCUUAACAUAAUCUUCCAGGAGAGACUUUGAUCCUGUCAUAUGCCUUGAGCAACCACUGUCUAAGUACCAAAGAUGCUCCUGACCCUGCAGUGCUGAGAAACUAGUUAGAACACACUGACCCAUUCGAAGAUGGGUCAUUCACAAAGUUAUUUGAUAAUAAAUUAUAACACUCCUUAGGAAGACAAUUUAAAGAGUUUGACUUAAGAGUCCAUUUUUCAUUCCUAACUUUAAUAUUUUCAGCUCUUGAGGAUGAUUUAUCAAAAGAACAUUCACUGAUCUUGUGAGAGGAGUCACCACAUCUGUAACAAACUCUAGUUCCAAAGUUCUUCUUGGUGAGCAAAUUUUUUGAUUUAACACAUUUUGAUAUGUAAGAUUCACCAAUAGAGCUUUGAGUCCUUUUGUUUAUCACUGAGUCACGACUGAGUUCAGUGUCAGAAUGAAUUUGAUCAGUGUUAGAGGAUGAAAUAUCAGUAUCUGAUUUUGACUCAUUCACAGAUGGAUUGCAAUCAGGGAAGUGCUUGAGUUGUUCAUGAACAGCAUGAAACACUCCAUUAGAGAUAGGAAAAGCAAUAAUAUUCUCAGUCAGAGGGGUUGGUCUAACAAGAUGUGUAGGAUAAGAGGUAGGAUCAAUUCCAGUAAUUUCAACAUUACACUCAGUGAUACCAUCAGAAUUAAUAGUACAAUAUUCAUCAAUUAAACUUUGAUUAAUAAAAGAGUUACUGACAAACUUAUUUUUGAAAUUAUUUUUCAUCUCUUUCAUGGAAUAGACCUCAGAUUCCUUUUCUUGUGAUUUAAAAACCUUUUCAGCUUCUGCAAAAUUACCCCCAAGAAUUUUUUCACAAGAAUGAGGAAUUUGAGCUGAGAUAAUAUAAUUGGCAUUCUUAUGAGAUUUUGCCCAAGUGUGGAGCACAGUUUGUUCUUUAAUCAAAAGAUUUUUAACAUCGUCAAUUUCAGCAGACAAGGAUGAAUUUGACAAACUGGUAAUUCUAAGAUUUUCCUGAGUGGACUCAAUAAUGCUAUUUUUUAUGGAUAUAUCAGUUUCAAGAAGAUCAAUUUGAUUUUGCAAAUUUCUUAUGGUUUGAUUCUUCUUAGAAUUAAUGACACCCAAAUACUCAAACAUUUUGAUUUUUUCAUUCAUUGAAUAGGAAACAAAGUUUUUAACCUGGUACAUUGAAGAAGAGUCAAUGUUGUGCUUCCUGGAAUUUUCAGCAUCAGACAUAUCAGUGUCAAAAGUACUUUUGUCUUUAUCGGGAAUAUCCGGGUCCUCUAUUUUGACCAUGAGACACUUGACUUCAUCAUCUGAUGACUCUUCAUCAGUUUUCCAUUUUUCUUCUUCAGCUACAAGCACUUUAUGUUCCAAAUUUUCAGCUUUCAGCUUCUCAAUCAGCUUGUUGUACUUCUGCUUCCAGUAUUCAUCUGUGCCUUGUUUCUUUUGUUUACAAUCCUUUGCAAAAUGAUCAGUGCUCCCACAGUUAAAGCACUGAGCCUUCUCUUUCUUAUCAGCACCAUGCCUUUUAUCAGCUCCUGACCCUUUUGAGAACUUUCCACCAAUCUUCUUUUGAAACUUUGAGAAGUUUCGACCUGAUUUUUCAAAGGUCUUCACAAUCAAGGCUGCACUAGCUACAACCUUUUCAAUAUCAUCAGUGUCAGUUUUAGAUGAAUCAGUGUCUGAAUCACUUUCAGUGUCUGAGUCUGCCACAAGCUUUUUGUUGGAGAACAAAGCUACAGAAGAUUCACGCUGAGAAUCCUUCAUCAGUUCCUUUCUUUGAAGCUUGGAUUCUUCAUAGUAUCGAAGAUUUCCAUAGAGACUUUGUAAGUCCAUAGAGUUGAUCUUCUCGCUGUUUUUCAGCACAUCAACAUGAUUCUCCCAACCUGCACCUAGAGAAUCCAAAAACUUUUGCACUAGAACAGUUCUAUGCUUCAACUGAUCUAGUCUCCGAAGAUCGUUAACAAGAGUAUUAAAUCUGUUAAAGGUUUGAGUCAAGGUUUCACCUUUCUUAGCAAAAAAAUGUUCAUACCUUCGGUUAAGAUCAUUUAUUUGAGUAGCCUUGACUUCUUCAGUUCCUUCAAAAGAUACAGUCAGCGUAUCCAUCAUCUCUUUUGCUGAGAUACAGUUUUGAACCAGCCCAAAGAUGUUGUAUGGCAAUGAGUAGCUAAUAGCGGCACGAGCACGAACAUCCAAACCAUGUUUUCUCUUGUCGUCUGCCGUCCAGUUUUCUCUUGGAGUUUUCUUCAUAGUGCCAUCAGGAACAUUGUUUUUAAGAGGCUGAUACAUCGGAACAUAAGGACCUUUUUCAACGAUGUCCAGCAUGUCUUCAUCAACGGAUUCCAAGGCAUAUAGAGCCUUUAUUUUCCACAUAGCAAAGUUGGUUUCAUCGAAAGGAGGGAUUUUAGCAGAAGGAUGAUUUGAUGAGUUUGAUGAAGAAGAAGAUGAAGCCAUUUGUUUGAUAAAAGAAACCUGCUCUGAUACCAAUUGAAGAGGCCUUUAGAUCAAUCGAAAUAUCAAACAAAGACUACAAAUAAGAACAAGAGAAAUUCACGAAGAAAACUUUCACUAAGAAUGAUAAUCUCACAAAGAGAUUAUCGUGUGCACAAAGCGACGAUUAGGGUUUGUGAAAGGCGUGACCAUUCACAAACCUAUACAAAACAAUAUAUACUGCUAUUCUAGACGAUCCCUACAAUUCAGGGAUACGCCGGUUAAUAAAUCAAGAUAACUAAGGAAACAGGAUAAAUACAAGAUUUGUUACAACGUACUGAAAAGACUAAACUAUUACAAACUGAGCUGCUGACGUGCUGGCGCUGAUGCUGAGCUACGUGCUGACGCUGAGUCUGUUUUAAACAUUAUCAUAUUUAAAGGCUUGACCUUUCAAUCUCCCCCAAUAUGAUGAUGUUCAAAACAAACUAAAUUAAGACACCCCUUGAAAGGAAUUCUUCAUACUCAGCUUCAGCUUCAAUUUUAACUGGCCAGUAAGGACUGUCCAGCAACUCCUGUCUUCUGUUCAGCAGCUCCAUGGCGAUAAGAAUGUGAAACUCUCCUGAUAAAUCUUGAUGACUCAUGCACAUUUGCCUUAAGCCAACAAGGUGAGUGGUUGGAGCUUUUGGGAUCUCAGUAGUGCGCUGAAAGCACAUCCUCCUGUUUUUAUCAAGGUAGUACAUCCCAUGUUCAGGAGCUGAGAUGAAUUGAUGCUGAACUGGAUCAACACCGAGGGGAAGAGAAUUAUUAAUCACACCAGCACCGAAGUCUAGAACCAAUACAUCUUCGCCAUCAACAUGAAACUUGGUCCUUCGAGAUCUAGGAACUGAAGACCUUUGGCCUGAAUGCUGAGGUCGUUCUUUAGGAACAAGAUCCAGACGCUGAACCUUUUUGAUCAGCAGAUGAAGAGCACAAGUCAGUUCAGAAGAAUGAGCUGAGGUUUGCUUGGAUGCUAGAUCGAGCAAUUCCAUCCAUUCCGAAUACCCAUAUCUGAUCAGCUCAUCCCUUUUGACAACUUCAGUAUAAGAGUGCUGAGAACCUUGACGAGUGAUCAGCAACGUAAGGAUUUUCUCGCUUCGAGGUUUAGAAGCCUUGACUUUGAUGAUCUUGUCUCCACAUAUACGACGGUUAAGAACAUCUUCAAAUCUCUUUCGAUCAAUCCGGUCAAGAACACUAUCAGCCUUAGGCUUACUAGAGCCAGAGGGAGGUUGAGAAGACUGAGCCUUAGACUGAAACUCCAGGAACUUCUGCAUUUGAGCUUCAAAUGAUCCCUUGGCCUGAAGUUUGUGCUGAAUGAGAGAUUCAUCAGCUUGAGCAAUGUUCUUUAGAAGCUGAGCUUGAUUGGCUUCAUCAAGAAUUUGCUUGACUUGGUCAGGGGACAUGUUCCAUUCAGAGGCCAGGUUUGAAAUGCUGACAAUGGAUUUGGGUUUCUUCACAGUGGAAGAAUUAUCAGUUUGAGACUGAUCCAAGUCAGUAUCUGCUGCCUUCCGCUUUCGAGACAGCGGAUGAGAUUCUUCACUUUCAACGUCUGAAUCCUCUCCUUGGACCGGGAUGAUUGGAUCAGCAACAGAAUCGGCCAAGAUAGGAUGCGAUUCUUCAAGGUCACCUGAGCUUUCUUGCUGAACUGGAAUGAGAGGAUCAAUAAAGUUCAUGUCAAGAAUUUGACAUUCAUCAUCAGCUUCAUCAUGCUCGUCAUCAUGCUCACUGUCUUCCACAUACUUUUCAGUAGCUGCUGGACUAUUAGGCCCUGCAAAAUCAGAGUCACGAAUGACAGGUUCUGUGUUUGGUUCACCAUCAGCAUGAGUGCUUGGUUCAUCAUCAGCAUGAGCAUUUGGUUCACCAUCAGCAUGAUCAUCAGCGUCAGCAUCAUCAUCAGUAUCUCCCCCUUUUUGAGCAUCAUCAGAUUUGGGACUAGAGGGAGGAGUAAGUAAGAGAACCUCCUUGAUUUGUUGAACAUCAGCCUCAAUUCGAAGCAGACGCUGACUGAUGUCCCGAGUCAGUGACAUCAGUUCUGAAAAUGCUGAAGCCGGAAGUUGAACCAUUGAGGUACCUGGGGCAACUGGAGAGCUAGGAGGCAUCCUUGGAGAGAAGUGGUGAGCUGCUGGUGACGGAUGCUCCCCCUGAGACUGAUGCUCCCCUUGUGAGGGAUGCUCCCCCUGAGAUGGAUGCUCCCCCUGAGGCAUGGAAUCCUGUGGUGCUGAGGAGACUUUGCCAGUGUCUGAGAUGAUGUGAUGAGAAAGUUGAGGGGAGAAAUGUCCACCGUCAUGAUGGUCCACCUCUUGAUCAGCAUGAUCCAUAUGAUUACCAUCAGCACCUCCUUCAUCAGUGUCAACGGUGAGAGAGGGCACAGUGUAUGGAUUCGCAAUCCAUUCUCUCAUCCUAUCCGAGAUUCCAAUGUCAGUAUCCAAAGGAUCAUCCUGAUACAUACGAACUGACAUUCGAGGGCAUUGAAUUGGAUUCCCAGAGUGAGAAAAGUAUUCAGGAGCGAAGAAUUUGUCGAACACCAGGGCAAUCCAGCGUGGAAAGGGAACAUGAUCAGCACGCACAUUUGCACGUAGAAGCUGAACAAGCUGAUCAAAGAAUAGUGCCCCAUAAUCCAGUCUUUUGUUGAGAAGAAGGGAGCAGACAACUUGUUGCUCAUAAUUGCUCAGUUGGUCACCACUGCGAGACUUGUGACCCACACACUUGCAUAAAGCACCAGUGAAAAACUUCCAGCCUGGGGUCAUGCACUGACGCAGAAUAAGAGCUGAUCGAGUGCCAGCUUUUGAAUGAUCAUAGCCCAGUUGAUCAAACAUGCGUUUACAUCUUUCAAUAGUAGGAGGUUCAGAGAAGGGUUCGAAAAUUGGUAACCUUAAAGCAGCACUGAGAAGUUCUGCGGUGAUGAAGACGGAGUGUCUGCCAUGGCCAAUGGUUCCGGUGAUGGCAUUGUUUUCUUCAUUAACUGUUGCAGUAUAGUAGAACUCACAUACUUGUUCAGGGAAGAACUCGGACGGUACAUCACUGAUUGCAUAUCGAAGGCGGCAAGAAGCCAAGAAAUUUACGAAAUCAUCGAGUCCAAGACCUCGAUGCACUUCUGGAAUGUCAGGGUUAAAGACGACAUUGGUGGCCUUGAUGUGAAUGGGAAGAGGAGGAGAGUUUGGGGCAGGAAUGACCCUUCGAGAGGUUGAGGAGUAUGUGAACAAAGAUGCCGCCAUUUGAGAGUAUUUUGGAGUUCUAGGGUUUUGAGAGAGAGGUUCAAGGAUUUUGGGAGGAAAAGAUAAACCAAAGAAGAGGGAGGUUUAAAUAUGGAAUGAAAAAGGGUUUUAAAAGGUAAUGAUUAUCUUGAUUAAAAAGAUGAUGAUUAUCUUCAUUAAUAAGAACGGCGCAUCGUAACAACCUGUCAGAGUGUAAAGUAGCCGUUGGAUAAAAGAGCCGUUGACUGAAGGUGAAGCGACAAUCAGUGUUUGCGGAAGCGCUGAGCUCAGUGUCACAAAUGUUACAUGCUGAAAAUAUUUCUCCGUCAAUUCAAAGUACAGCUUGCUUAUUCAGGGCUAGCAAGGUGAUUGGUGCGUGUGAUAGAUACUAGUUACAUUAUCUAACCAUCGGCACAGAGUGUUGUGACUUCAUCAGUGAGUGGUUUAUCUUACUGAAUCAUUAGACACUGAAUAAUAGGAGGGUAAAGAAUGGAUUGUUGCGUGUGAUAAACCUUGGUGUUUUGGUCUAACCAUCGGCAAAGAUUUUUAGACUCUCAUCAGCGUGUGUUUUUGCACACUGAAUCACAGAAUCAGUGUAAGAUUGGUAAGAAGGGGUAGUUGCGUGUGAUAGAUCUUGGUGUUUUGAUCUAACCAUCGGCAAAGAUUUUAGAUUCUCAUCAGUGUGUGUUUUGGCACACUGAAUCACAGAGUCAGUGUAAGAUUGGUAAGAAGGGGUAGUUGCGUGUGAUAGAUCUUGGUGUUUUGAUCUAACCAUCGGCAAAGAGUUUCAAGUCGUUAUCAGUGUAUGGUUUAAUACAGUGAAUCAUUCAACUUUUAUUUAGAAGAUUUGAGGAAGAGAUAGAGAUAAGAAAUCAAACCAAAGUGCUCAGUAGCAAAUAUCAUCAGUAUGUCAUCAUCAGCACAAUGUACAUCAGCUUAUAAGACAAAAUCAAACAUUAGUACAAUUAAACAUCAAAAUUAAUUACAAGGAAAUCAUUCCCAGCUCUCCAAUAAUGUAAGCAGUUGAUUGAGAAUCCAGUGCCUUUGUGAAGAUAUCAGCAAGUUGCUCCGAAGUCUUGACAUGUUCAAGAACAACUUUUCCUUUUUCAACAUUAUCUCUGAUGAAGUGAUGUCUGAUCUCGAUAUGCUUUGUCUUUGAGUGCUGAACAGGAUUUUGUGUGAUCUGAAUGGCACUGGUGUUGUCACAAUAGAUGGGAGUCUUUGAGAACUUGAACCCAUAGUCGAGAAGCUGAUUUUGAAUCCAUAAGAGCUGAGCACAACAUCUCCCAGCGGCAACAUACUCAGCUUCUGCAGUUGAGAUGGCAACUGAUGUUUGCUUCUUGCUAGACCAGCUGAUGAGACGGUUGCCAAGGAAGUGACAUCCACCAGAUGUACUCUUUUUGUCUAAAUUGCAUCCUGCAUAAUCUGAGUCAGUGUAUCCAUAAAGUUCAAAUGCUGAGUCGCGAGGAUACCACAGUGCAAGGUUUUGAGUUCCCUUUAAGUAUCGAAAAAUACGUUUGACAGCCAUGAGAUGAGAUUCUUUGGGAUUAGCUUGGAAUCGAGCACAGAGAAUGGUUCCAAACAUGAUAUCAGGACGACUUGCUGUGAGAUAUAAGAGGGAUCCAAUCAUUCCUCGAUACAGAGAGUGAUUGACAUCAGUUCCAGUUGGAUCAGCGUGUAGCUUAUCAGUCUUAGAUACUGGGGUAGAGGCUGGUUUGCAGUCACUGAGAGAAUACUUAACAAGCAGGUCAGAAAUAUAUUUACUUUGACAAAUGGAAAUACCUGUCUUUUGUUGCUGAACCUCAAGACCUAAGAAAAAGGUCAUCUUUCCCAUCAUGCUCAUUUCGAACCUUUGAGACAUGAUCUCUGCAAAUUCCUUGCUCAGUGUCUCAUUUGGAGAGCCAAAAAUAAUGUCAUCGACAUAAAUUUGAACAAGAACCAUAUCUGAGCCUUUGUUUUUGAUGAAGAGAGUGUUGUCGAUUGCUCCUCGUCUGUAUCCAUUUUCAAGCAGAUACGAUGUCAGCGUCUCAUACCAAGCCCUGGGAGCUUGCUUCAGUCCAUAAACAGCUUUAUCUAACCGGUACACGUAAUCAGGAUGAUCUUUGUCCACAAAGCCUGGGGGCUGAUUUAGGAACACUUCUUCUUCUAACACACCAUGAAGGAAUGCUGUUUUCACAUCCAUCUGAUAGACAAUGAAGUUCAUGUAGGAUGCGUAUGCGAGAAACAGCCUGAUAGCUUCAAUGCGAGCAACUGGGGCAAAAGUUUCCCCGUAGUCGAUAGAUUCAAUCUGAGUAAACCCUUGAGCUACAAGCCUUGCCUUGUUGCGAGUGAUGAUUCCAUCUUUAUCAACCUUGUUACGAUAGACCCAGCGAGUUCCAGUGAUAGUCUUCCCGGAUGGUCUUGGGACAAGAGUCCAAACUUUGUGCCUUUCAAACUCAUUCAGUUCUUCUUGCAUGGCUUUGAUCCAAUCAGCAUCUUGAAGAGCUGUGUGUACUUUAUCAGGUAAGAUCAUUGAAACAAAGUUAACAUACAUGCAAAAGUUAUUAAGUACACUAGAUCUGGUUCGGACACCAUCAUGAAUAUUCCCUAUAAUUCGAUCAACAGGAUGAUCUCGAUGUUCAAUGACUGAUGCUGAUUCCGGAGAGAUAGACACUGACACAUUAUCAGUUUCAGGAGAGUCUUCAGCUUCAAGGGUUUCAUCAGCAUCUAAUGAGUUAUCUGCUGAUGUGGCUGUAGUAUCUUGAUUCAAGGGACAUGGAACUGGAAUGAUAGGAUCAGAAGAAUCAGACUUCUCUUCAGCACAAGGUGCUUCAUCGAAUGGACAAGAGAGAAGCUCUUGAAAGAUAGAAGGAGAAUGAGUGACUUUUUCAUCAGUGUAUGAUUCCUCAUCAAACUUCACAUGAAUGGAUUCUUCAACACAUUGCCUGUUCACAUGAAAAACACGAAAAGCCUUUGAAAUAGAUGAGUACCCAACAAAAAUACCUUUAUCAGCUUUAGGUUCAAACUUGGAUCUUGGGUCACGCUGAUUUAGAAUAUAACAAAUGCAUCCGAACACAUGAAAAAAGGAUACAUCUGGUUUUCGAUCUUUCAGCAUUUCAUAUGGAGUCUUCUUGUGAAUCCUGUGAAUUAGAGAUCGAUUCUGAGUAAAACAUGUUGUAUUGACAGCUUCAGCCCAAAACGACAUAGGAAGACCAGCAUGGAUCAUCAAGGUCCUUCCUGCCUCAAUCAGUGUUCUAUUUCUUCGUUCAGCAACACCAUUUUGCUGAGGAGUACGAGGAGCUGAGAAGUUUUGUCCAAUUCCUUUAUGAUCACAAAAUUCUUCAAGAGUUGAGUUUCGGAACUCAGUACCAUGAUCACUUCUUAGUUGCUUAACUUUAAGACCUGUCAGUGUCUCAUUUUUACGAAUCAGUGAGAUAAUUUCCUGUGCAGCAUGACUUUUCUUCUUCAAGAAAACUACCCAUGUAAAUCGAGUGAACUCAUCAACGACCACUAGAGUAUACUUAUUUCCACCUAGAGAACGAACAGGAAUAGGUCCAAACAAGUCCAUGUGGAGUAGAUGAAGAGGGACUGAUAUACUGGAACAUGACUUGGGUUUGAAAGAGGACUUGGUUUGUUUUCCUUGUUCACAAGCUGAACACAUCUUGUCUUUCACAACGCUGAAUUUUGGGAGCCCUCUAACUAGGUCUUGAUUGGAUAUCUUAGAUAGAUUCUUGAAGUUCAGAUGAGAAAACCUUUUGUGCCAAAUCCAGCUAAGAUUCGUCUGAGACUUUGUAAAGAAACAUUGCAUCAGUGCCUUGUCACUUGAGAACAUGUCAAGAACAUAUAUAUCAUCUUUUCUACUUGCUGAGAGUACGAUGUUCUUGUCAGUGUUUACAACUCUGCCUUCUUUCUUUGUAAAGUGAACUUCAUAGUCAGCAUCACACAAUUGACUGAUAGAAAUAAGGUUGUGUUUGAGACCCUUAACAUAUGAAACGUUUUGGAAAACCACGUUAUUGCAUUUGAUGUUUCCAUAUCCCUUAGUGAACCCCUUUCCAUUGUCUCCAUAAGUAACUGCAGGACCAGUUUUCUUAACAUAAUCUUCCAGGAGAGACUUUGAUCCUGUCAUAUGCCUUGAGCAACCACUGUCUAAGUACCAAAGAUGCUCCUGACCCUGCAGUGCUGAGAAACUAGUUAGAACACACUGACCCAUUCGAAGAUGGGUCAUUCACAAAGUUAUUUGAUAAUAAAUUAUAACACUCCUUAGGAAGACAGUUUAAAGAGUUUGACUUAAGAGUCCAUUUUUCAUUCCUAACUUUAAUAUUUUCAGCUCUUGAGGAUGAUUUAUCAAAAGAACAUUCACUGAUCUUGUGAGAGGAAUCACCACAUCUGUAACAAACUCUAGUUCCAAAGUUCUUCUUGGUGAGCAAAUUUUUUGAUUUAACACAUUUUGAUAUGUAAGAUUCACCAAUAGAGCUUUGAGUCCUUUUGUUUAUCACUGAGUCACGACUGAGUUCAGUGUCAGAAGGAAUUUGAUCAGUGUUAGGAGAUGAACUAUCAGUAUCUGAUUUUGACUCAUUCACAGAUGGAUUGCAAUCAGGGAAGUGCUUGAGUUGUUCAUGAACAGCAUGAAACACUCCAUUAGAGAUAGGAAAAGCAAUAAUAUUCUCAGUUAGAGGGGUUGGUCUAACAAGAUGUGCAGGAUAAGAGGUAGGAUCAAUUCCGGUAAUUUCAACAUUACACUCAGUAAUACCAUCAGAAUUAAUAGUACAAUAUUCAUCAAUUAAACUUUGAUUAAUAAAAGAGUUACUGACAAACUUAUUUUUGAAAUUGUUUUUCAUCUCAUUCAUGGAAUAGACCUCAGAUUCCUUUUCUUGUGAUUUAAAAACCUUUUCAGCUUCUGCAAAAUUACCCCCAAGAAUUUUUUCACAAGAAUGUGGAAUUUGAGCUGAAAUAAUAUAAUUGGCAUUCUUAUGAGAUUUUGCCCAAGUGUGAAGCACAGUUUGUUCUUUGAUCAAAAGAUUUUUAACAUCGUCAAUUUCAGCAGAUAAGGAUGAAUUUUUUCAUGGAUAUAUCUGUUUCAAGAAGAUCAAUUUGAUUUUGCAAAUUUCUUAUGGUUUGAUUCUUCUUAGAAUUAAUGACACCCAAAUACUCAAACAUUUUGAUUUUUUCAUUCAUUGAAUAGGAAACAAAGUUUUUAACCUGGUACAUUGAAGAAGAGUCAAUGUUGUGCUUCCUGGAAUUUUCAGCAUCAGACAUAUCAGUGUCAAAAGUACUUUUGUCUUUAUCAGGAAUAUCCGGGUCCUCUAUUUUGACCAUGAGACACUUGACUUCAUCAUCUGAUGACUCUUCAUCAGUUUUCCAUUUUUCUUCUUCAGCUACAAGCACUUUAUGUUCCAAGUUUUCAGCUUUCAGCUUCUCAAUCAGCUUGUUGUACUUCUGCUUCCAGUAUUCAUCUGAGCCUUGUUUCUUUUGUUUACAAUCCUUUGCAAAAUGAUCAGUGCUCCCACAGUUAAAGCACUGAGCCUUCUCUUUCUUAUCAGCACCAUGCCUUUUAUCAGCUCCUGACCCUUUUGAGAACUUUCCACCAAUCUUCUUUUGAAACUUUGAGAAGUUUCGACCUGAUUUUUCAAAGGUCUUCACAAUCAAAGCUGCACUAGCUACAACCUUUUCAAGAUCAUCAGUGUCAGUUUUAGAUGAAUCAGUGUCUGAAUCACUUUCAGUGUCUGAGUCUGCCACCAGCUUUUUGUUGGAGAACAAGGCUACAGAAGAUUCACGCUGAGAAUCCUUCAUCAGUUCCUUUCUUUGAAGCUUGGAUUCUUCAUAGUAUCGAAGAUUUCCAUAGAGACUUUGUAAGUCCAUAGAGUUGAUCUUCUCACUGUUUUUCAGCACAUCAACAUGAUUCUCCCAACCUGCACCUAGAGAAUCCAAAAACUUUUGCACUAGAACAGUUCUAUGCUUCAACUGAUCUAGUCUCCGAAGAUCAUUAACAAGAGUAUUGAAUCUGUUAAAAGUUUGAGUCAAGGUUUCACCCUUCUUAGCAAAAAAAUGUUCAUACCUUCGGUUAAGAUCAUUUAUUUGAGUAGCCUUGACUUCUUCAGUUCCUUCGAAAGAUACAGUCAGAGUAUCCAUCAUCUCUUUUGCUGAGAUGCAAUUUUAAACCAGCCCAAAGAUGUUGUAUGGCAACGAGUAGCUGAUAGCGGCACGAGCACGAACAUCUAAACCAUGUUUUCUCUUGUCAUCUGCCGUCCAGUUUUCUUUGGGAGUUUUCUUCAUAGUGCCAUCAGGAACAUUAUUUUUAAGAGGCUUAUACAUCGGAACAUAAGGACCUUUUUCAACGAUGUCCAACAUGUCUUCAUCAAUAGACUCCAAGGCAUAUAGAGCCUUUAUUUUCCACAUAGCAAAGUUAGUUUCAUCGAAAGUGGGGAUUUUAGCAGCAGGAUGAUUUGAUGAGUUUGAUGAAGAAGAAGAUGAAGCCAUUUGUUUGAUAAAAGAAACAUGCUCUGAUACCAAUUGAAGAGGCCUUUAGAUCAAUCGAAAUAUCAAACAAUGACUACAAAUAAGAACAAGAGAAAUUCACAAAGAAAAACUUUCACUAAGAAAGAUAAUCUCACAAAGAGAUUAUCGUGUGCACAAAGCGAAGAUUAGGGUUUGUGAAAGGCGUAACCAUUCACAAACUUGUACAAGAUAAUAUAUACUGCUAUUCUAGACAAUCCCUACAAUUCAGGGAUACGCUAGCUAAUAAAUCAAGAUAACUAAGGAAAUAGGAUAAAUACAAGAUUUGUUACAACGCACUGAAUAAACUAAACUAUUACAAACUGAGCUGCUGAUACGCUGGUGCUGACGCUGAGUCUGUUUUAAACAUUAUCAUAUUUCAAGGUUUGACCUUACACCGUCUGACCUGCUGGAUAUGCUAUGUCGUCUUGAGCAUUAUCCCGGUGCUCCCUAUCACUCUCUUUCCGACCUCCCCCCAACAGAUAGGAGUCUGAUCCCCCCAGCAGAUAGGAGUCCGACAUCUCCUUCCAUACAAAAGCUAAAACGGAGGCAUCCCAAUGAUAGAGUGAUGGUUGUUUUUGUAUGAGAUCUUAGACAAGUUAGAUAGGAAUCCCAACUCCCACCAAAGUCCAUAACACAAGCGUGUAGCAUGUCCUCGAGCGUCAGAAUCAUUCGCUCGCUCUGCCCGUCUGUCUGCGGAUGGUAUGCAGUGCUAAAAUGUAGUCGGGUACCCAAAUCCUCGUGAAAUUUCUUCCAGAACUUGGAAGUAAAAUGCACAUCAUGAUCAAACAUUAUCAAUUUCGACACUCCGUGCCGAGCCACCACCUCUCGAAUGUAGACCUCAUCCAAUUUCUCCGUAGGAGAGUUAUCACUUAUAGCCACGAAGUGAGCACUCUUUGUCAAUCGAUCCACGAUCACCCAGAUCGUGUCCACACCUUUCGCAGUCCUGGGUAGCUUAGUGAUGAAAUCCAGGGUAAUCUGUUCCCACUUCCAUAAGGGAACCUCCAAGGGAUGCAGUUUUCCAUGAGGGCGUUGGUGCUCUGCCUUGAACUUGCGACAUGUUAAACAUCUCUCAACAACACAUACCAUGUCUUUCUUUCAUACAUGGCCACCAAUAAUCGCGUUUCAAAUCCAAGUACAUCUUCGUGGCCCCAAGGUGGAUGGACAACCUCGACUUAUGGGCCUCCUCCAUUAAAAUCUAUCGUGCUCCACCCGUAUAUGGCACCCAUAUCCGUCCAUGGAAGGUCAUAAGCCCCCUACUGUCUGUCUCAAACUCCGAAACCUACCCAAUCACCCGCUCUCUCUUGCGGUUCUCUGGUCUCAUGGCCACCGUUUGGGCCUCCCGGUUGACCUCCAAGUCUGGAGUUAUCAUUGUCAUCCUCAUACAUACAUCUCGAAUCGGGGCACCCACUGCUAUGCGGCUCAGGGCAUCAGUCACAACAUUGGGCUCGCCCGGAUGAUACAAGAUCUCACAAUUGUAGUCCUUCACUACGUCCAUCCACCUCCUUUGCCUCAUAUUUAAGUUGGGCUGGUCCAUAAUGUAUCUCAGGCUCUUAUGGUCCAUGUAGAUGGUACACCGAACACCAUAAGGAUAAUGACACCAAAUCUUGAGGGUGAAAACCACCGCCCCAAACUCCAAAUCAUGGGUGGGAUAUCUCGUCUCGUGAGGCUUCAGCUGCCUCGACGCAUAUGCUAUAACAUGACCUCUAUACAUCAACACAAAACCUAACCCUGCUAUGGAUGCAUCACAAUAAACUACAAAGUCCUCUACUCCCUCAGGGAGGGCUAGUAUUGGGGCCUCACACAAUCUCUGACGAAGUGUCUCAAAUGAUGCUUGUUGCUCAGUCCCCCAAACAAAAGCAGCAUCCUUCCUUAUCAGCUUGGUGAUAAGAACAACAAUCUUGGAGAAAUCUCUGAUGAACCUCCAAUAAUAACUUGUCAGACCAAGGAAACUCUGGAUCUUAGAUGGAGAUCUCGGUACCUCCUGCUGCAUUAUCAACUCUAUUUUGGCAGGGUCAACCAAAAUAUCGCUCUGGUCGAUGAGGUGUCCCAAGAAAUGGACCUCUCGCAACGAAAAUUCAUACUUGGAGAAUUUGGCAUAAGGCCUCUCCAUCCUCAGAACUCACAGGAGCUCUCGCAGGUGCUCCUCAUUGUAACACCCGGAUUCCCAGGUCUAUAUUAUGUUCCUGUAUUUUGGGUUUUGUGGGGGAACUCGGCGAGUUGGCGUCUAGACUCGCCGAGUAUGGUCGCGGAUUGGUACGCAAGUUCACAGCUGGACUCGGCGAGUACAUGAGUGGACUCGGUGAGUCUGCGCUGUUUAAUGAAACCCUAAUUUCCAGGGUUUGAGACCUAUUUAUAGGGCCUUAUGGCCGUCAUUUGCGGCCACCAACCCCAAAGAGAAACCCUAAAGAGACCUAGAGCGUUUGUGAGGAAGGAGAGGCUAAUCUUGAGCUUUGGUGGGUGUUUUUGCAAGAAAGAAGUGUUUAAGGCAUGAUGAGGCUGAAGGAGGUGCGAUUUUUGGUGGUUUUGAGCUCAUAGAGACUGCAUUAAGGUAUUAUUCUCGGACCUUCUUUAGUUUUGGUGUUGAUUCUUUGUGUUAGGGUUUUCCUAACCCUUUUACAGGUUGAUUAAGUGGUAUUUUGGUCCCUCCUCGAGUUUGUGUUCUGGAUCUGGACCCAAAGAGGUCCAGAGACCUUAACCUUUGGAGCUUUAUGAGUCAUUUUGGAAGUCAUAAGCUUGGAAUGUCAUUUUUGGGGCUAAAUCACCAUUUUGGAUCAUUUCUAUGUUAUAUGUGUGUCAAGGUCCGAACUUUACGUGAUUAUCAUGCUUGGGGAGGCCAGGUCUAUGAUUAUAUGGAACAGAUCUGACCUCAGAAGUUGUUUUGAGUUUGUGCAUGGCAUGAACUUGCCGAGUCCCAAGAACAGACUCGGCGAGUAGUAUGAAGGUUGCUCGUUAAUCACUCAGUGAGUGGACUUGCCGAGUUAGGGGAAUGACUCAGUGAGUCAGGGAGAGUCAGGGGUCUGAGUUCAAGUUGGAACUCGCCGAGUUGUUCUUGAGACUCGGCGAGUUGAGUCGAGGUGGCCUCGCAAUUCAUGCCAGGUGGAACUCGUCGAGUUAAGGGAAAUACUCGAUGUGCCAAGAGAGAAUCUAAGACAGUCAGUGGACACAUGUAGACUCGCCUAGUCGCCCUUGUGCACUUGCCGAGUCGGGUCAAGUUUGACCGUUGACCUUGUUGACUUUUAGGGUUAAGUAUUGUUGUAUUUAUGAGAGUAUUACUUUGUGUGAUUAGGUGGAGGCUAGAUCACAUUUCUUCCGAGAUAGAUACUUAUCGAGACCGCGAGGUGAGUCUUCUCACUAUACGUUACCUAGAGUGGUACUAUGCGAUGACCAGAGGGUCUUAUGUGUUAUGUAUGAGAUUAUGUGCUAUGUGAUAUUUGUGUGUUGUAUGAUGAUAUAGACCGGACCGGAGGGUCCAACGAGCUAUGACCGGACCUAAGGGUCCAACGAGCUACGGGACUGGAGGGUCUCGCUGAGACACAUCGACCAGAGGGUCAUAUUAUAGCCUCGAGUGGCGUAUGUGUUGUAUGUGGUAUUUUGGGGAACUCACUAAGCAUUCAUGCUUACAGUUGUUGUGUUAUGUGUUUCAGGUACCAGUGAUGAGCGCGGGAAGGCGCCGACAUGAUUCGUACACACUUGAGGAGUUUAUGUUUUGGAUUCCGGGGAGAUGUUCUUGUGAUAAAUACAUUUGAUACAAUAUGUUUGGUGUUAUUUUGUGAGUAAAUGAAUGUUUUAAAAAUGAAAAAUUGUUUUGAAAAUUUACGUUGUUACACUCAUGUUGUUCCCUAGACUACGAAUACACCAGGAUCGAUGAAAACGAUCAUUGAACGAUCUAACAUAGGUCUACACACCCAGUUCAUGAGAUCCAUGAACAGCGUCAGCGCGUUGGUGAGCCCAAAAGGCAUCACCACAAACUCGUAGUGCCCAUAGCGGGUUCGGAAGGUUGUUUUCUGGAUGUCUUCCUCUUGAACCCUCAUCUGGUAAUACCCAUACCUCAAAUCAAUCUUGGAGAACCAUGACGCUCCCUGCAGCUGGUCAAAAAGGCCAUCGAUCCUUGGCAAUGGAUAACAAUUCUUCAUUGUCAACUUGUUCAGCUCUCUAUAAUCAAUGCACAUACGAUGCGAUAUGUCCUUCUUCCUGACGAAAAUAAUCGGAGCACCCCAUGGAGAGUUGGUUGGUCUAAUAAACCCCUUUCCCAACAGCUCCUACAGCUGAGAGGAUAAUUAUUGCAUCUUGGGAGGUGCAAGACGGUACAGUGCCUUGGCUAUCGGUGCCACACCCGGAAUCAAAUCAAUUCGGAACUCCACCCGCCUCUCAGGGGGCACACCCGAUAAUUCCUCAGGGAAAACAUCGGGUAAAUUACAUACCACCGAAACAUCAGAUACAAAAGUUGACCCCUUCUCCUUAGCUCGAGUGUGCACCACAUAAGCCAGGAAACCCGCAUACCCAUGUUGAAAACUCUGCCUUAAACUGGUGGCAGAAUAGAAGGUUGAUCCUGAUCUAGUACCCUGACUGUAGAUGGUCAGUACUCCCCCACUAGGAUCUCUGAUGGUAACCAAUUAACGCUCAUAAUCGAUAAGAUCCCCAAAUUGGCCCAACCAAUCCAUGCCGACAAUAACACUGACAUCCCCAAUUGGGAUAGGGAUGAGAUCAAUCUGAUAGCCUAUACCAAAAAUCUCAAGCGAAUAGUCCCGGUGAAUCUUUGAAGCUGAUACAGAGUGCUCAUCCAGAAUUGAGACCCUCAGAGGUCGACUCAAGGCCUCCAGUGGAAUGCUAAAACUGCGACUAAAAGAUAACAACACAAAAGACUGACUCGCACCCAAGUCAAAAAGCACAAGUGCAGGAACAAAGUUCACAAGAAAUUUACCUAUACAAUUAACAAUAUAAGAAACAUAAACAAAAAAACAAAAUAUAAAGAGUACAUACCAGCUACGAGAUCUGGAGCUGCAUGGGCCUCCUCUACUAUCAGCUGAAAUGCUCUGCCUCGAGCCCUCGAUGCCUCGGCUUUUCCCUGCCAACCAUUGGUGAUAUGAAAAACUGCUGAGGGGGGCACCUGAACCGCCCUGGAUGCAAGCUGAGGACAAUUGGCCUUCAAAUGGCCCAUCUAAUUGCAAUUGAAACAUACCUGAAAUCCCUUGGGGCGCUCCCUAGCCAUAUGCCCCUCCUUGCCACAUAGAUAACAAGUUGACUCGGACAGACAUGGCCUGCUUAGUCACCGGCUAUGACAGCACUGGUCUCCAGUCCUUACCCUAAGCCUCUAUCUCCUCUUUAACUUGAGUCUCCAGCUUGAUCUCCCUCAUCCUGGCAUUGGUCUGAAACUCAGCCAAUGUAUUGUACGUGGUAUUCACCACGAACUCCCUGAUGUCCCUCCUCAGAACAAUCAAAUAUCAGGCUACUCGAGCCUACUUAGUUGAUACCUGCUCGGGGCAAAACAACGCCCUCUCAUGAAACAUCCUGGUGAUCUCGGUCACCGACUUUGUCCCCUGCUUGAGGGACAAGAACUUUUGGGCUAACCUCUCCCUCUCAACUACAGGCAUAAACUCAUCUCUGAACAUCGCAGUGAACCUCUCCCAAGUCAUCGCAACAUGCUCCGCAGGCGUGUAAUCAGCGGUCACAAAUUUCCACCAGUCCUUCGCUCCCAAGCGAAGCAGGUUCAAGGUGAACCGAACCCUCAAAUUCUCUGGACAGAAGCAAGUAUAGAAACAUCCCUCAACAUCUGAGAUCCAUCUCAUAGCAACAAUCAGUUCCUGGGUCCCAUCAAACUCAAGUGGCUUCGUGUUGGUGAACUCCCUGUACCAUAAUGAGUCACCCCCCUACGGUCUCGUAGCAGCAAGAGCUCCAAUGGCUGCGGCAACAACAACCUCGAUAAUAGGGGCAUAGCGUUCAUCAAAAGUCUCAAUCAGUGUGGUCUUGAUAGACCCAAACAUCUAUGGAAUAGCCCCUCUGAUCACUGUGGCCACCUCUGCGACAAUCAUACUACGAUCAUCAUCGCUAGCUCUCGACCUCCCAGGGUCACUAGAGCCUUAACCUCGGGUAAACACCAUACUGAAAUGCAUAAGAAAUUUUCCGGCAACAAGUUAUUAGCACAUAUAACAACACCCGCAACCACCUAGGUUCUUUAGUUCCUGUGGUUAUUCCCUAAGUCGCAUACGGAUCUAGUGCUUCCAGUAGUAUGGGCAAAUACUACCUUCCACACCAACCUAUAUUCGUCCCGAAUCAUACCCACAAAUCCCAAAACUAACCCUCAACAUAGCUGCUAUAGACCCGCUCUACCGGCUCCUAAGAACCUCAAUUCUUGUCUAGACACCAUCUCUAGACUACAUCCCUCACUACUCUGGCUCAUGAGAUCUCCACUGCUCCCACUAAUUACAUCGUGUAUGUCAAUCAUACAUAGUACCAGACUCAAUAGAUAUUCGAAUAAAUGACCUUGCCUCAAUCCACAUCCAAACAAGGAAAAAGGAAGAAAGACUAAACCAGGCAUUUUAAGGCUAUAAAAUCCUAUCUAUGUACAACUAUAUGACAUAUGCCAAGUAAUUAGUAAGACCAACUUCAAGCUCAUGAUAAGCGACUUCCUAGGCUAAGGCAUUAUAGAAUGACAACACAUCAUAAUAAUUCUGCAAGAUUCCUUAGCCUACACCUAAUUAGCAUGCAAAUCUGACUGUUCAUAACAUAAUAAUUCUGCCCUGUAUUUCUAUAACAUGAUAUUUUGGGAAACUACUGCGUGAGCGUUGGUCGAUUUUACACACUAUGAGUUUUUCUUUUGUAAAGGUCCUCCUUCUUGGUAAUUUUCUUAAAAAAGUUUGAUUUUGGAAUCCCCCUAGGGUUUAUCCAAAUCCCUCAAACCAGGGCUCUAAUACCAAAUUGUAACAGCUCAAAUUUUAGACCAAUUUUUUUUUUAAAGUUUCCAAAACAUAAUUCCACAAACAAAAUUCAAGUACAAAUCAUCUCAAACCACAAGUAUCAAUGUUAUCAGAGUACAUAAACCAUGUCUCAGUAAUAAAAUCCCAGUGCGUGUGUAUAAUCAGACCUUCGCCUUCCCGCGGUCCUACGAAGUAUCUACCACAUAUAAUCUCAACAACUGUAAGCAUAAAGUUUAGUGAGUUCCCCAAGAUAUCACACAUAACCCAACAUAAAAUAAACAGCUAUGGGUUAUCUACAACCCUGAGGCUACCAACAGUCCCCUGGAGCUAACAACAUGCUCGGGAGGUUAUCUGUAGUUCUUGAUUGGCUAACAACAUCCCAACAUACAUAACACAUCAUAUCAUAACACAACAUAUCAUAUCACAACAUAUCAUAACACAACAUAUCAUAACACAUCAUAUCAUAACAACAAGACCUAGUUGGUCAUCAUAAUACAACUACCCUACCACACAGGCAAGAGUAGCUAAUAUUUAAGGUCCAAACCUCUCACGAUUCCUAAAGUCCACAAUCAAGCCCAUUAGGGUAAAAGGACCAUAUUACCCUUCUCUAAAUCCGAAACCCUAGACUUUGACCAAAGGUCAAAGUCAAAGGUCAACAAAAAGUCAACAGAAAUCAACACUCAAUGGGUACGCUAGGCGUACACUACAAAUAAAAUGACGUUUAGUGGCACAGAAAAAAUGUCACUAAAAACCAAAAAAGUGCCACUAAAGGCCCUCUCGACCAUCAGCGACACAAAAAAAGUGUCACUAAAAACGAUGCCACUAAAGGCUUUUAGUGGCACUUUUUUAUUGUGUCGCUACAGCCCUUAUAGGUUUUAGUGGNGCCACUAAAGGCCCUCUCGACCAUCAGCGACACAAAAAAAGUGUCACUAAAAACGAUGCCACUAAAGGCUUUUAGUGGCACUUUUUUAUUGUGUCGCUACAGCCCUUAUAGGUUUUAGUGGCACUUUUUUAUUGUGUCGCUACAGCCCUUAUAGGUUUUAGUGGCACUUUUUUAUGCCACUAAAGCUCUUUUAGGUGCUGUUUGUUUUUUGCAAAAAACUGCUUCAUACCUCUUAAUGUUGCGCGAUGCAGCACACACACAACACGUUUAAUCUCGAAGUUGUUUGUUUUUUAGAAGUCUUCAGAGUAAAAAACCUAUGUGCGUGUUCUGUUUGGCGCAACAUUUAUAUUGCCUCUUUCAACCUCUGAUUCUUGUUUUUUUCUUGCUGAAUUCUUUAUUAUAUGUUACUGAAAUCUUAUUUUACAUUUUUUUCAUUUUUUUUUUGUUUAUUGUUGUUGGAUUCUUUUUUUUCCUAUUUUUUUAUAUUGAAUAAUGAUAAGUUCUUGAUGAAAUAUCAUUAUUUUUUGCUAAAAUAUUUUCAUUUUUUGUUGAAAUAUCAUUAUUUUUUGUUGAUAUAUCAUAAAUUCUUGCUGAAAUAUCAUACAUUAUUAAUUUUUUGGUAUUAAAAAAAACUAUUUUGGUUUAUAAAAUCAGUUAAUUUUAAUUUUCUAAUAUCUGCAACAGUAUGUAGAUGUUAAAAAAACAAGCAAACUUCUUAUUACAGUCUACAGCCGUUUGAUCCACCUCUUCUACUGCAGAUGGUUGUAGAAAUGGCCCGCAGACUUCAUGAAUUUUUACUUCAAAAAAAAAAGCACCUUAGGUUUUGUGGCAUUAUUUUUAUGCCACUAUAUAAUUGCUAAAACUAAAAAAAUAUGUUUUUAAUGGCAUUUUUUACAAAAAAAAAAAAUAUUAUAUCUAAAAAUUAGUUCCAAUUUUUAAAAAAAAAAUGGAAUAUAAAAUAAUAAAUGCAAAACACAAAACCAUUUUUUAAAUUAAAACUUAAGCUAUAUUACAACAAUAUUCUCUAUAUUUAAAACAAAAGUAUCUUCCAGAAGGCAUAAUAAGUCUAAAAUCUAAAAGUGUGCUAAUAACUACUCAAAACAUUAAACUAUCAAAAUAAAUACUAGUUGAGGAAAAAACACCAAAGUUGACAUGAAGAUGAACUUUCUAUAGUUGCUCCUCUUGUUUAUCCAACUUAAGAACAAUUGCCUACAAAUUGAUCUUUGUUCACCAGUCUAUCAUUGUCUAUUUGUUGUGAGACAGCUUCAUCAACCGUAAGACUUAGAUCAUAUGCAUGUGAUUUAAUAAACAUUGCCAAUGCAUCCACAUUUUCCCAUGCUAAAAAAUAUCUAUUGUUUUUUAUAAAACUUGUUUCGGUAGGAUGAAUAAUUGGAAUGAAAGUUAAAUAUGUUAACAAAUACACAUAGAAUAAUAAAAUAAAUUUCAACAAAGUAGACCAUUUUGUCAUGUUUUUCAUACAACAAAAAUACUGUUUAUGUAAUAAAUUACUGCCACAAUGACCUUUUUUGUAAAAGAUAUUUAAGGGACAAUUUAUGUAACCUAUCAUAUCAAAUUUCUACAAGAAGGAAGAUGGUUAUAUUUAUCUGAAAAUUACUCAACUCACAAUAACUCACAAUGUAGUUCUUAAGAUACAAAAAGAUAAGUAAGAUGCAAACAAACACGAUCCAUUUAAGUUAUCGUUAUAACGUUUUCAUAAAAUAAUAAUAAUUUUUUUUAUAACAUCUUAGAUAAAAAUACAUGUAGGUCAUACAUAAUUCUCUAGAAUGAGAGGGGCAUACUUGUCCAAUAAAAGGAAAUCUGAAAUAUGUACUCAUAUUGGCAAUUCGUCUGAAAGGGAAAAAAAGGAAAAGGGAAGCAUACAAUAAGGAAGAGUGAAAAAGAAAAGGGAUGGUAAUAGAAAGAGAGAACGUAUGGUGGUGGUGGUAUUUGUGCUCCCUUUUUUCUUGCUUGGAGGCUAGCCUAAAAUUAGAGUUAACCAACCAAAUAACAAGCAUGAUGUAUAUUGAAGUUACAAUGACCAUUUAAGCUAUAAAAAUUAGAGUUAACCAACCAUAUAAUCUACUACUACAUGAACCAUUUAUGCUACAAUGCUACAGAAACUGUAUAAUUUCUGAUUUCAACAAUUCUUUUGAUCCUAGUUUAACUUCAUUAAAAUAUGAUCAAUAUAACUUUGGUAAUUUUGAUAGGAUUUAAAUAUGCAAAAGUUGGUUGCCAGUGAUCAUGUUUUAGCCUAAACUUCUUGUUUGUUUCUAUGACUUCUUUUUUUAGAGUAUUGCAUUUUUUAGAAAUUUAUCCAAACAUAGUAGUGUACUUUCACUGAUUUUAGAAAUCUAUCCAAACAUGGUAAAUAUUUCACAGCAUGAUGCCUUUAUAUGAGAAAAAUUAAAUGUACAAUGAUGCUAUCCUUGCCUAUAUUUUCUAAAUAAUGAUGUAUUAGAAAGAAAAGAAAGAAAGAAAGAAAGAAAUAAUACUAUAAAUCUAAAGUCAGUUUUUUACCUGCGGCUUGACCUGGAAGAUAGAACGAAUUCUUGAGCAUGGGCUUAAACAAGGGCUUCACAUCUAAAAUUUAAUAAUUAAGAAGAAAUAGCAUAUUAGAACUCAAAUAGGAAAAUGGAGAACAACAAAUUAGACGAGAAAGCUGGAAAUCAGUUAAAAAGUUACACCUAAUAGCAUGUAUUGCAUUUUUCGGCGGUGCGGAGAGCGAGGGAGGGGGUGAAUGGUGGAAUUGCAGACAUAAUCUCUUCAGGCAUUUCGUCAAGCAAUUGUUGUGCAUCUCUAAACAAACAAGAUAUUAAACUAAUAUUAAAAAAUAUUCUUGAUGGGGAAAACCUAUCAUUGAUUGUACGAGGAUACAAAGGAGUUACGGAAAACUGAAUGUGAUUAUGAUUUGCAUAGAAGAAUUAUUUGAGCAUGAUAAGCGAAAGUGGAACGAGGAAAACUUCAUUAUGUACCUGAUAUGGCGAUGCUUGGGUAGAACACAACGGAAAGCAAUGGUAGCAGGCAGCGGUGGCGAGUUGCGGAGGUUGAGCAUUGGCGACUUGUGUAGGUUGAGUGACGACGAUUUUAAGGCUACAGACAUCACAAUAGCGAUGAUGAUGGAGAUUUGGGAUUUAAGGCGCAGGUGGAAAACAAUGUGAUUUUGAAGCGUGGGUGACUGGAGGUAACUAGAGGGUAAUGGUGAAAAUGAAAAUUUUCAAUAAGAGGGAAACAAAGUGUAUAGCGGGAUUUUGUAAUGUUUGGGGAAAACAUUUUCCCGCUAGGAACAAAGGUUUUCUAAUUUUUGGGAUGUUUUUCUCAUACACAAUUAUUUGUUUUUAUAUCACGAUUUUAUUUAUCAAACUAGGUGAAAACCCGUGGGACCCAUGGAUGUUAAAAUUAAAUAGAAUUUAAAAUUUAAUUAUGUAAUAAAUAAUAUAUCAUUAAGUUAGAAAACUUAUAUAGUAUUUUGAAAUAACUUUUUUAUUUAUAAGUAUUUAAUUGCACAAAAAAUUGUAACUAUUUAACUAUAAAUGAAGAUUAAUAAAAUCUUACUUUUUACUGGUUGUUAAUCGUUCAUGGUGAUUGCACGUUAUAUUAAUACAAAUUGUUGUUAUUUUCAUCUGUUUUUCUGAAAAUUUUACAUUGAUUUACUGUGUCAUGUGUUUAUUUUUUAGGCUUACUGACUAUAACAUUGAAAGCCGUUCAAUGCUACUGUUUUUGUUAGGAUAUUUUCUCUAUUUUUAUUAAAUUUGUAAACUUUGAGAAUUUAAUCACAAAUUUAAAUCCACAUAUUUUAUAAAAUAUAUUGAUUUAUAUAAUGCAACAUAAUUUUAAAUAACUACCAAAAAAACCCAAAACAACAUCAGAAUUGAUUCGAUACAAAACAAACUAUAUAUGUAUGUAAUGAAAUUAAACUAAAAAAAAUACAAUAAAUAAUUAUAAAUAAAUAAAUUUUAUGAUGGAUGAAAUGUGCUUUAGUAAAAAUGAGUAAAAGAUGCUACAAAGAAGUUGCUUAUAAAUUACGAAAAACUUCCUUAUAAACAACAUUGGAAGUUUUAUUGGUGACUUCCAAAUACAGUGACAUUGAGGUGUACAGACCUAUAUAAAAAAAUAAUUUAAUUAGUAUGGAAAAAUAUGAUUCAAAAUAAUAAGAAAUUUAAAUAAACAUCAUCUCACUGUAAGUUGCUAAUAGUCAUCUUUAUGUAAUGCCUUGAUGGAUUAGGAUUUCUUGUCUCAAGUGGCCUGAAUGAGACAAUUUGCCCAAUAACAUCUACAGAAUUUUAAUUAAAAAAAAAUAUAUAAGAUUAAGUUAAAUAUGUAAAUACUAACAUUUAUAAUAAAUUACACAAGUUAUAAAAGUGAAUUGAAUAAAAUUAAACAACUAACCAAAAAAUGAGCCUCUUGGGCAUUUCUGUUCGAUGAUAGAGUUAAAAUCAGCAAACACAAAACCAUUAAUUGGACCAGAAAAAUCAUCACAUUUUUUUACGAUACUUUUCUAAUCCAAAGUUAAGGUUUGUUUGUGGCCGGUAACACUAAAACCAUUUUUAACAGCCGCCAUGUUUGGUUUUAAAAUGAUAUAACUUUCACCUUCCUUUAAAAGGUCACGAAAUUUGGAAAAAUUUUGGUUGAAAACACGAGAUUGGUAUUUUGUACCCUGUUAAAACAAACAAAAACAAUUAUUCAUUGAAACAAAUGUAAUAUUGAGUUGGUUUAAAAAAUAUUAACCAACCUCCUCGUCCAUGACGAUCAUUUCAAUUGCUAAAACCUGGUUAUUUUUUAUAAAAUUCCAAAUCUUUAACACUCGUAGUUUGAGAUGCGAAUCAUCAGCAAUAACUUCAAUGUCUUUUAGGUAUACUUUAUUGCCGAUUUCCUGCAAACAAUUGAUAGAAUAUGAAAAAUUAUAUCCAUUUUACUGUUUUCAUUUAAAUUGAAAACAUAUUAGUGUUGUAGUGAAGACCAUGAGAAGCAAUAGUACCAAACAAAAUCCAAAAUCACACAUACAAUAAACAUAUAAUUUUAUUGAAACAUUUAUAUUUAAUUGGUCUAUAUGAGUGUUUGUGUGGAUAUAUAUUUUUGACCAUGGGCAAAAGGGUCAUUUUUGUAAUUAUUGAGGUGCUACACAAACAAUUAAGUAAGGCACACCAAAUGUCACAGUACCAUUAACUGGACCAGAAAAAUCAUCACAUUUUUUUACGAUACUUUUCCAAUCCAAAGUUAAGGUUUGUUUGUGGCCGGUAACACUAAAACCAUUUUUAUACAUUUGGUGUGCCUGACUUCCAAAUAUAGUGACAUUGGUACUUAUGAAUUGUAAUAUUAUAUUUUUUUUAAUAACCUUGUCAUUUUUAAGUUAAUAUCAGAUUGAUACUUUCAUUUCUAAAGAAUGAGCUUUUCAAAAUACAAUGUUACAACAAAGAAAUAAAAGUGUGAUGCUAUAAUAAAUAAAUCAACAAAAAUAUGUUGCCAUUUCUUGUCAAUUAUAUAAUGUCUUAAUGAGGAAAAUAAUAAUAAGAAAAUUUUUUAUUCAAUUUGAGUUUUAAGGAAGCCAUGACUGAAUAACUUGAGAACCUAAAAAGAUGCAACAAACUUUAGCAACCAACUCUUAAAUACAUAGCACCAACCAACACUAUAACAAUGAAACUGACUGGGAAUUAGGAAGUAAUCACCAUAACAACCCCAAUGACAUCGAGCAUCAGAAGACAUUUGUAGAGACACAAAUACGAUGUACAUAAAAAAUUUGAUGGGUAUGCAACCUCUAAUGAUAUGAAGUUUUAUAUUUUUAAACAUGUAACUUUAAGGAGUUAUAUAUAAACGUGAUAAAAUAAUUUUAGAAACAUGGUUAUAUAUAAACUAUCAUAUUUCAAUCUAAAUUAGCAAGGUUUACCCCUUAAUGCUCAUGCAAUAUGAUUCGUUUGUUUUGAAAAAAACACACCAUAAUGAAAGGCUACAAUGUGCAAGUUCUAAAAAAACAAAUUGAAAUAUUAUAAUUAAUAGCUUAGUUAAAAGAAAAAAAAAUCAAAAACUUAUAAUACAAGUAAGUAAAGAACACACCAAACAAAAGUAAAUCAAAAACCUUAUUUAAUGCAUGCAUGUCUAAUUAUUUGCAGCUUCCUUAAAUGUUUGUGUGUGCUGAACUACAUCAUAUAAAGAUACUAAUGUUAAUCAUACGAUCUAAAUCAAAAUCCUAUAUAGUUAAAAACGAUUGUUACCUCAAUUAGUAAUGUCAAACUCCAAUAUGAAACCAAAAUUAAUACCGAAAUACUAAAAAUGAUCUUCUCUCCUAGUUGAUGUUGUGUUUCCCUCUUUUUUAAUGUCAAAUUAUAGAAAAUUGAACAGCACCAAUGUCUUGCUUUUAUUCACCGUCAUACUGAUCUACCCUAUUUUUGAGGUUUUACAAUUUGUAUCUAUACAUAGUAAAAAACCCCAAGAUUAUAGUACUAACGGUUAUUGUCGGAGUUCAAGCAAUUAACAUUAUAGCUAAUAAAUUAUGUUCUUUCUUUUGCCACUGAAACCACAUGAAAUAUGUUCAUUUUGUAUUGAUAUUAGUUGAUAUGCAUAUUAAUUAAUAAUAUAAUCAUAAUGAAAUAUAUGAAUUCCAAAACAUAAAAAUUUCCCAUAUCAAUCACUUUUUUGCAAAUUUCAUUAAUUCUACAUAUUUAUGUAUUAAUAUAAUACAGGAGGUUAAACUAUACCUUUUAUAUAUGCAUUCCCAGGCUUCUUUGAACUCCAAUGACUUCAUACAGACAGAUAAAUUAUCGAAGAUUUGUAGAUCUAUAAACAAUAUUGAUUCAAUGAAACAAAGAUUAGAAUCAAAAUGUCCAUGUUUUUUUUUAAUGUAAAAAAAGAGCAACCCAAAUAUGCUAAAAUUCAUAUACAUGAGGUAAUACAACACAAAUCAACAUAUAUCAAUUCCAAUGUAAUCGCAAAAUUUAAAAAAAAAAUAGAAUGAUAUAUGUAUUCAUUAAAUAUUGUUUGUACCUUAUUGAACCUCUUCUCCUGCAGCAGUUCCCCCUCUAUCUCCAUCAACCUAAAAGAAGAAAACCAAAGACCCUAAGUUAUGCUCAUAUAAAUAAUAUUUAUAUUGAAACCAUAUGAAAUCAAACAAUGGAAUGAGUGAAGACAUAAUUCAGAUUUACAACUUCGCAUUUAUCAAAAAUAGUCUUUGGUGUUCAGAUCCUUUGAUUAAGGGCACCGAAGAGAAGUUACUAUAGGAUCCUUCCCUCCUCAGCCACGAAAGACUACUAUCAUCUGCUCUCUCACAUUUAUCUCUUCAAUCAGGAAAAAAAAGAUAAUCUGGACAUUACAUCGAGCACCUGGUGUGCACAAGCAACAUUAUCAUUAUGGAUUCAAGUAUGAGUUUUCCUUUGUUAACACAAAGAAAACAGAAAAACAAGAAAAUAUAAUAAAUUUACCUAUAGUGGUUUCAUGUUUGAUAUCUUCUGGCACAAAGAUUUGUUUAAUUAGUUUUGGUUGUGGGAAAAAGAUUGAAACUCUCUCCAUGUAAAUCCUGAAAAAUAUCAAGGAACCUAUCCAAAAGCAAAGCAUCAUACUCACAAGAUUUCUAGACGGUGUCUACUUCCAUCACAUCUGUAGCACACACACAUAAACCAGAACACAAGGUCGAUGUUUUACUUCUUUCUUUUCAGCAUUGAAGAGUCAAAUUAAAGCUACAACAUAGGAAAUCGGAAGAAGAAAAGGAAAUGAAAUUUGUGAUUUGGUUCCUCAUAUCAACGUCAGUGACACAUAAUCCCUGAUUUUGUGGGAUACAUUGACAAUUUCAUUUGAUUGAAACCAAUUUAAAAGGAUAGGAUACGGGUGUAAAGAAUUUAAAAUAAGAGAAGGGUAAAGCCGGAAAUACACUUUGGUAUUUUGAGCGGGAAAAUUCAAUGGGGAGGUGCUUAGAGAAUGCCACGUGGCAAAAAUCUACUUAUUUAUUAUAUUAGGGGAUUACUAUAAUGGUUUAUUUAUUUUUUUAAUAUUUUUAUUAGAACUUAAAUUAAAUGUAACAUAUUAUCUAUGAUUCAUGAUUUUCUCUUUUUAGUUUACUAUAAUGAUUUAAUUUCUUUUUUUUAAUAGUUUAUUAGAAUUUAAAUUAAGUAUAACAUAUUAUUUAUAAAAAUUUCAGUGAUACUAUUUUUAGGUCAAUAAUUAUAAAAAACAUGUCAUAAAAGUAUUUAAUGUCAUUAAAAGUAGGUUAUUAGUGUCAUAAGUUAAAAAGUGUCAUUGUAUGUUAAAACUUAUUGUGACACAAAACAAAAGUCCCACUAAAAGUAGGCUAGAGUGGCACAAAGGCAAACUGCCACUAAAACUUUUGUGCAACUAAAUGUAAUUUUAUUUGUAGUGGUACAACCUCCAACGCGGAGCGUAUAGUUGAUCAAACGUUCGGCGGGGUUCAGCCAGGCUACGCUACGCGUAGCCAGGAAUACGUAUGGCGUACUCAUUCUGUUUCCCAAUUUCCUUUCUAAAUGUCUUAAUCCGUUAAGACACUCAUCAUAACCUCAUGUCUGACUAAAAUAAGGUCCCUAAAGUCAUAAAGUCGAUAACUUUGAGCAUUUGCAUGGCUAAGGAGGACUAGAACUUCAUUUCACCUCUUUCCAACUUGAUUACUCAUGCGUGGGACAUAAAUGAUGAUAAAGCAACCAUUUUUAUUCAUCUAUACACUCUAAAAUGCAAGAAAGCACAACCCAAAAUCUCUGGAAGGCCAUAAACUCGAAAAAGUCCAAACUUGGGGACUAAAACUCAUGAAUCUUGCACCAAAAGAGAUCUAAGAGAGUAACAACCAAGGUGAAAACUUUAUACCUGGAAAUGAAGCAUAAAAGUGAAUGUUUUGUAAUCUUAAAGUUGCAUAACACCUUCUUCUUCUUCCUCUAGCUUCCUUCUUCUACUACAAGGCCAAAGAACCACUCAAACUAGCAAAAACACACUGACAGGCACACACUUCGGGGUUUAGGGUUUUGGAGGGAUUGAAGGUUCCUAAAGGUGGUCAGAAAGGAGGCCAUCAUAUUCUUUAUAUAGGGACACAAGAGGUUUAGGGUUUUGCAAUAUGUGACUAGUACGCCCAACAUACUAGAAGGAUCCCGCGUUUUGCAUGGCGCAUGAGUAUGCUGCGCGUACUCAUGUGUACGCCCUACGUAUCGACUGUCAUCCUUCUCUUUUAAGGGACUAAAAGUGACAAUGGUAGAAAAGAUAGGAAAGGAAUAUUCAUACCUCCAUUAGGAUGUUACAGAUAUAAAGACCGCAAUAGAGGUUAGUUAACAAAUAGAGAACAAGGAUAAGUAAUCAAUAAACGAAGAAGAAGGUUGACUAGUAGCAGUCGGCUGGCAACAAUAUAUUUUAUAGUGAGAAAUCUAGCAGAGGUAAGCAAUCUGGUAUAUGAGAUAUUUUCGGUGAGCAAAUCUUUUUUUUUGGGUUGUUACGAUGCUCCUUUUAUUUAGGAUUCUAUAGUUUCUCAUUGUACCUUAGAAUAAUUUCAACUUUUUUUUAUAGCUUUUCUUUUCCUAAUAAGUUUGUAUCCUUGAUUUACUAUGACUCAUUUUGAUUUUUUCGAUAAUUUUCUUGAUUAUAUUUUUAGUUGGUUUACUAAUUUAGUAGUUAUAGAAUGAAAUAAUUAAAUUCAAAUAAGUUUUUGAGGCUUUUUUAAGUUAAUUAUCUAAAUAUGUUUUCAAGACUUCCCAUAAUAAAUAUCAAAGAUGACCGGCCAAAAAGGUAGUGAAAAAAAAUCAGAUAUAUAUAUAUAUACCAUACAUGUAACAAGUAAAAAAUAUCAGAAAGGUCAUGAUCCCCUAGUCCUAUAUAUGUUCCGUUCCGCCUUCUUGUAAUGAGAGUCGAACCUUAGACUACCCCCGUUAGGGUAAUUUGAGCAGUUCAUCAAUUUUUAAUUAAAAAUAAAUGAGUUUUGGUGAUCUAAGCCGAAGGAACGAUCCAUGCUCAUAAAGGCUUGGCACUUUUUAAAAUCAAAUACACCCACGUGUCCAUCAUUCACUAGUGAGGUUAAAUAAUUUUUUCUAAUUAAGAGGGUGUUUGGAUAAAUGCAUUUUUAGCUUAAUUAGCUUAUUGCUUAUUGCUUAUUGUGGUGGGAAUAAGCAUUUUUUUAAAAUGUGUUUGGAUUAGUUUAUUGCGGUGGGAAUAAACAAUAAGCAAUAAGCAUUUGAAGUGUUUGGCAAACAAGACAGCUUAUAUGAGUAAAAUGACUAAUAAGCAAUAAGCAAUAAGCAAUAAGCAUUACCCCCCUUGCUUAUUAAAAUCAGUUUAUUUAGCUUAUUCCCACCGCAAUAAGCUAAUUUUUUAAGCAUCCUAUCCAAACACUUAAAUUAGCUUAUUGUGGUGAAAAUAAGCAAUAAGCAAUAAGCUGUCAUUUUUUUCCCUAUCCAAACACCCUCUAAAUCUAGCUUUAUUAAUAACUAUAUUUUAUUUUAAGUAUAAAAUUAAAUAAACUAUAUCAAAAUAGGUGACUUUACAAAAUGAUACCAACAUUGAUAUUGUGUUGGAUUGUUAAUGGAAAUAAAGAUUGAGUUUUAAUUGAGUUAAGGAUACCAAAGAGGAAGAAAUUAGUUUUAUGAUAAAUAAUUGAGUUGGAUUGGAUUGAAUUGUGAAUGAAAAUACUCUUAUAUAUUCCACUCAACCUCAGAAGCAAGCACAUCACACUAUUGCCGAUGAUAACGUAUGUUACUAACUUAUUUGUGGAAUAUAAUUAACCUUUUUCUUAAACCAUAAUUUUGGAAAAGUUUAAAAAGUUUUGCAAUCUUUUUUGCAGAAUAAAAAAAUUUUCUUAAGCUAAAGUGUUUAGCGAAGUCCAUUUUACAAAAUAUAUAAAAACAGUCUUUUCACAAGACCUAGUUUUAAAAGAUCUUACUUGAGAUGCAUAUCAUCACUUAUUCACUUGUCACUUGUCCUGUUAAUAUGUAUAUAUUAGACGUAAAUAUUACAAUAAUCAAUGGUAUGAUUGUUUACAUAAUAAUUUUUUGAAUUUAAUUUAUUUUUUCGAAGGGUUUCAAUUUUGGCCCAAAACAUAUAUAAAAUAAAUGGCGAGAGAUAAACGAUAAUGGGCAGAGAAGUGUAAAGAUAUUUUACAAUUUACACAACAAAAUCAGCAGUUGUUGAGAUAUGAUCGACCGAGUAAAACCAGUUGUACCCGCUAACAUAUUCGACUUGUACCCUUUGAUAAAUUAGUAUUAUUAUUUUGUUACACCCCACCUUAAAUUUAUCAAAUCGAGAAAAUUCUUGUUUUUGUUGUAAAAUAAGGGUGUUGACAGCAAAUAAUAAAAGAAAAUCUUGUAAGAUACGUAACCUGGAACCAAACUGACACCCACACAUGAGACCACCCCCCAUCUCUCUCUAUCAUCUCUUCCUUUUGUACCACAUCCUACCCCACCUACUUGUACCUUCCGCUUUCUUCCUUGUACCACAUACCAUUUACUCAAGAAUUUUCAACCGUCUGUCAAUUUUUAUGAUUUUUUUUCUUUUUACCGAUUUUUUUUUUUAAACCAAAUGGUUUUUGGAUACUAACACUCCUUACCUUUUCGGAAACCAAAAGUGUAACAACAUAACUUUAAGUCGUGCUACAACAAAGUUUUUUAAGCCAUGUAGGAUUUUUGAAACCAAAUGGUUAGAUAAAAAGAAUGAUGGUAUAAAGGUAAGGAGUGUUACUAUCCAAAAAGAACAGUUAUUUUUAAUAGGGUUAAAAGAAAAAUAGAACCACCCAAUCACAAACGUUUAUCAUCUUUUCUCUUUCACUCUCCUCUCGCUGCACAGGUGUGACGAGGCUUUCUUGGCGAUGCUUCUAGCGACUUUGAUGGAAAUGGUUUUGGCGAGGAUAGCGAGAUGGAGGCGAGUCUCUAGCCACUCCCUCAAGCCUAAAUCUAAAUCUGAAUUUCAUAAAACUGGUAUCAUCUAUUCUUUUCUUCCAUAUUUUUAAGUAUGUGGUUAUUUUUUAUAUUUUAUUUAAGAGAAAUUAAAUAUACUUUUAUUCAAGGUUCUAAAUAACGUAAGGCGUGACUUGGCGGCAAUGUCAAGCCUCAAGCUUUUCCGAGCCUUGGCGAUACAUGACGUUUGUAAGGCGUGACUUAAGGCAGCAAUUUUUUAUAUAAAUAAUAUUUUUAUAUGUAUUUUCAGUUAUUAUUCAUUUUUUAUACACAUAUAUGAGUUAAAGCAACGUUUUGGCAAAGCUUGGCGGCAGGUGAAAGUCUUGGAGUCGUGGCAUGUCAUGGCGGCGGAGCCAUGACGAGCUUUUUACAACCUUGCUUUUAUUUAUUCUUCUUACUCAUAUUUCUAUUAUUUUUAGAUAGUUUAUGACAAGUGCAAUAAAAUUUUAUUAAAUUUAUUAAAUAUGUCAAAUAUCAUAAUCUUAAAUGUGUAGUAAAACAGCUAGAAAAAAUAAGUAGGAAGAUAUUUUAUAAUAAUUGGUGGGACAUCGGCAAUGAUAAAUAGAAAAAAAAACAUUGAUUAUGAACAUUUUAAAAGAAAAUAUGAUGUUUAUGUAUACAUUAGGAUCAAGGAUUGAACAUGAAAUCACCACAUUUGCAUUUCCAACACAUGGGUUUGUAGUUGGAGAUAUCGUCACCUCUUGAAUUAACUAUGCUUUUAGGGGUUGUACCCAAAGCUUCUUGAGUUGUUCUAAUGAAUCUAGGUACAAUUGGGACUUGAACUGCCACACAAUGACCACAAUCACUACAAUAACUCUUCUCACAUCUUGGUGGUCUUGAUCCAAUCAAAAGGCUACUUCUUUCCAUCUGCAUCAAAUGCAAUCAUACAAAUUAGGCUGUUCUUUGACUUUUUCACGUCAAACCUUAGAAAGUAAGAAUAAAAAGAUGUUUUUUUUUUUAUUAUUAUUGUUAUUUUGGAGGUCAAAUAGCAUAAUUUUCAACUUCAAUAUUGACAGAGAAACUUGUGAACGGACUAUAGUGUAGUGGAUAUCAAUUAUUAUUAAGGGAAAGCUUAAAGUGUAAUUAACAGUAUGCAUCCUAAAUUAAGAAUAAAAAUGGUUCUUUUGACUUUUGAGGACAGAUGGCAUAAUUUGCAAGUUAUACCAAGUGUUUAAUGCUAAAACAUACAUGGGUAACAAUAUACAUCUCAAAAGUAAUCCAUUCAACAAGGAGGAUGGAAUUAUAAAAUUCCUUUCACUUUUGUGGUCCAAUUUGCUAACUUUCUACUUCAAAUUUCAUAUUAAAACAGGGUACAAUCAUCUGACUAAAACUUAAGGAGUGUACAAAUUGUUGAAGUCCUAAACAAAACACUUAUAUAGUUUUCAUAUCUGUUUUAGUUAUUAAUCCAAAAUCAAGAGUUACAAGUAUAGGGCUUUGACUUUUGACAAAAAAUAUAUUAACUUUCAACCUUUAAAAUUUUGAUGCUAGAUGUAAUCUUUUACAAAAUUUCCCUUAACUAAAAUAAAAUUUAUACUAAUUAAUACAUAGUGAUGAACAUCAUGUUUAGAUUUUACAUCAAUUUCAAACCAAAUUUUGCAUAUUGAAUAAAGAAUUAAUUUGCAAGACAGCAACCAGCAAAACAGAUGUCAACCAUGCUUUAUUUGAAGUCUCACCUGGCCAUCGUUGUUUAUCAGCUUCGAAUUCGAUCUUCCUGCAAUCACAUUGUAAGAAAGAAAACCAAAAGUCAAUUAUAUAUNAGAGAGAGAGAGAGAGAGAGAGAGAGAGAGAGAGAGAG